rnacentral:lncRNA from 1 species
GCACAACAUAAGAGAUCUCCAAAAUACUCCGGCCUGAUUACAACAGUACGGGAACAAACCGAAUGGAGAUUCCUUCUCCCUGACCGAAGCCCUGCAGACGGCUCGGAGCCUCGACGUCCACCGGAGGCGACGCUCACAGGAACUUCCUGUACGGCCGGCCGGCGUCCUCGUCCUGCAUAUGCUGCAUCCAUUCCAACCAACACGCCCAGAUUUGGUUUAGGGUUUGGAGAAGAGAGAACGAGAUGUGGGCAGAGAUGGGUCUGGAUCUUACGAAUUCGCGAACGAUGCCCUUGUAGACGAGGAUGGGGACGGCGAGGCCGAAGAGGCCGAUGACGGCGAGGCUGCGGCGGGUAAAGCGGAAGUUGAGCUCGAGGUUCUCCCGGCCGGCGUUCCACUCCUCGAUCCACCGGUUCUUGUUCACCUCCAUGCCGCCACCCAUCUUCUCGUCUCCUCUCCUUGAUCCGCCGCCUCCUGCUUCCUCUCCGCUCUGAGAAUGUGCCGAUGGGCUCGCCGAAGAUUGGUCUGCGUUUGGUUCCUGGUGAGACGGGCAGACGGCCGCUUACUUCUGUACCGAUUUAGGCAGACUCAAAAACCGUGACCGCAGCACGAAAGCGUACUUACAUGGUUUUUUUUUUCUGCAGGUGAUACUUGCAUGUUUCUUAAAGCAAACAUAAAUGGGAAAUGCCUUUUUCGCGAAAAUGUAAAACUUGUGCAUCAUUCAUCGAUUGAUUGAUAGAAGAAGUUAAAAGUAAGAACAUAAACGUGAUGCACACUUAUUUAGAACGAGUUAUUUUACUUGCUUGUAGAAUAAGCUGGAUAGAAUGAUGUCUCUAUCCAGCUUAUUCUACAAGCCUAGCUAAUUUUUUUGUUCGGUAUAUUGUUGCUAGUUGUAGAUGUAGGUUGUAUCAUGUUGGAACAUAAAUAUCAUAGAAUAUCACUAUAUUAUGCUUAUUUAAUUAAUUCAUCUAUGCAAUUGAUGAAGGGUGGAAGGUUUGGCCUUUCGACUCGUGUUUUGUUUCACUUUUGUAGCCAUAGAUUCCGUAAUACCAGUGUUAUGUUUCCCGAUGAGCAUUCCUAACAUGUGAGGGGGUUACGGAGGACCUUGAUCAUUUCGACUUUGUGUUGAGUAAGGCUCAACAUUGAUUUUAAAAUCUGCCAACACAAUAAUACUAAAUUAAUUAACUCAUAAGGGUUUAUCACCUCACGGAUUCUUUUAAGGGGGCACUAGAAAUCAGACUACUGAUUAUUUGUUCCCAUCAGACCACUUGGUGGUCAUUGAAUUAGUAUCAUAACAGGUGUUGGAUCAGUAGGACAUGUAUGCUAGGCAGGGAUUAGUACGGAUUCCUUUUAUUACGUGCUUCCAUCAUUAACUGCUUCUCAAACUUAUGCAUGCCUUGAUAUUCCAUCCCAGAAUUUCUCAUCUGAUGCUAGUAAAACUACAUGUUUGUUUAUUUGGAAAUUUACUAAUUUUUUUGGUGCUAGUAAAAAAAUGGAUGCACAUAAAAUUUCCUUUGAGCGAGUGCAAUAUUUUACUUUGUUUCCAACGCAACAUAAAAUUGCAUCCAAUAGUGAGACAAUUUGCUUCUAUUUGUGUGAAAGUUUGGUUGGACCGAACGAAAAUUUAGGUCCCAGAACUUUGCUUCCAUGUAACAGAACUUUGCAUCCAGGAAUUCAAAAUUUUGAGUGCAUGUAUCAGUUUUAUUAUGUAUGCAAGACGAGAAACUUUGCUUCCAUCUAAUACAUGAGUGUUUCAUCACUAAAUUAAUUUGCUUCUAACUGAUUAUUUUUUCUGUGCUUCAUCAGUUCAUACGCCAUCUGAUUCUGAAAAGCACACAUAUGAUGAGGUCCUUGUUGUUGCUUCGUUCGUGCAGCAUGUCCAAUCUGAUGCUAGUAAAAAUUUAAACUUCCCUUGCUUCCUUAUUUUAGAAACUUUACUCAAUGUUUUUUCCAGAUGCUAAUAAAACUUGCUUCCAAUGCACAUAAAUUUCAUAUGAUCUGGCGUAGCAUUUUUCUUUGUUUCUGAUACAAUAAAAGCGCGUUAAUAUUUUACUUUAUUUCUAACGCAAUAAAGAAACGUGUCUCGUGGCAACGUAAUUUGCUUAUGUUGCAAUCAAAUUUUGGUUAGCCCUAACAAAAGUUCAGCUCCUUGGUUCCAUGUAACAAAAUUUUGCAUCCAAGAAUUUCAAAUGUGAAAUUUUGAGUCACAUGCAUCUUGCUUCAAUGUAACAAACUUUUGCAUCCAAGAAUUCCAUAUGGGAAAUUUUGAGUCCCGUCCAUCUUGCUUUCAUGUAACAUAAUUUUGCAUCAAAGAAUUCCACAUGGGAAAUUUGCAGUCCCAUGCAUCUUGUUUUUGUUACGUUUCAAAUGCAAGAAACUUUGUUUCUAUCCCCUAAAGAAGUGUUUCCAUCUCAAAACUAUUCUCCUCUAACCAAACAUAAGUUGUUUCCAUGCAUUUUUCGUUCAUACACCAUUUUCAUAUGAUACACAUUUGUUUCAUUCAAGUUAGUGAUGAUACAGUGCUUUCUAUGUUCAUAUUAUAUGUUACCUAUAAACUAUAGAUUUGCUUCCCUUCAUGUGGCUUGAGAGCCUCCAAGUGUCUUCAUGCUUCUUAGUGCAUGCGUCGCUUGAUCAUAAGUCUUAUUCAGCCUGCUUCAUUAUUUCGAGUGAACUGAAAAUGUAUGAAGUGUAGCAUACUGGCAUUACGAAAAUUAUGUGAGUAACCUAUGAAAGAAAAAUACAUAGAGCAAAGAAACAAAUGUCAUAUCAUAUGGGAUUGUGUCAUAUCAUGGUAAUAAUAAUUAUGGAAACAUAUUUUGUAAAUGAAGCAAGAUAUAUGGAAGUCAAACUAUGGACACAGAAGAAGCACAUGUAGUAUAAUUUAGAAACUCCAUAACACACAAGAAGCAUAUAAACAAUGCUAUCCCAACAUAGCUUAUCUCAAUUCGAAGCAUAUUGAAAUAGAAAUUAUAAACCCGUCAGCUAAUACAUAAACAUAUGCUAUUACGUUUGGAUGCAUGGAAGUAAAUCAAAAAGGGUUAGUAAAACAAAACAAAAAAGAAUUGGCCACCAAGGGAUGGAUUUUUUGACUCACCAACGUAUCAUGUGAUCUGUGUUAUUUAUUUUUUGGCAUUUAAAGGCAAGAAAAAUAUAUACUUCAGAAACAUUUAUCUAUCAUUAUAGAAGUUGCAGAACUAAGAAGCACAAAUAGAUUAGUUUGGCAACAGAUAUAUACUUCAGUAGAAGGAUGCAAAAUUUAGAUCAUGUUGAGACUAGUAUUACUGCCAACAUUAGGAAUCAGGUUAUUGUGAUUUGCAUAAGAAAUUAACCGAAAUUCAUAGAUCACAUGAUCCAUUGCACAUUGGAUAUAACAUAGAUAUAUACGUUCAAACAAAUUUCAUGGGAGAAAGCAUUGCAUUGUCACAUCCCUAACCCUUAAGUAAGAUAGCAUUGUGCUCAUGUCUUCUUUGCAUUUGCAUCUAAGAAGUUUCAACAAAAACAACAAAGUGGCAAAGGAAAAACUCAAAACCCUAGCCACCAUUUCAAUUAAAGGAAAUUUCAACUAGUUCAAAAUCAAUGAACCCAAAAUGGCCUCAAGAAAUGUUCAAACUUUCUGAUAAAUCAUGAAAGUAAAUGAGCAUUGGAGAAAACUAUUUUCUUGACACUUUAAGCAUUUUAAAUAAAUGCAAAAGCCACUGGUUUCAAAUUUAAAAUUUGAAAUCAGAAACUAUAAUUUUCCAAAAAUGUUGAAAGUCUUGGAAAUGAGUGGGGAUAUUAUAACAAAUAUUUCAGGAGGUCUAAAAUAGUUUUUACUUUUUGUUUUGGAGCUGAAAUAAUUAGCAAAGCAAUAAAUAGCAAAACAGAAAAACAAAAACAGAGAAAAUGGGAAAAAACUUACCUGUCGCCUCAGCCUGGCCCGGCCCAUCUCCCCGCUCGUCCCCUCCCUCGCGCCAGUAGGCAGCACGAGGUGGCCGCCGCCUCCUCCGGCGCGGCCACGCACCUGCGUGCCUGCCUGGCCGCCGGUUCGCGCUGGCGACGACGGGGAUAAGCUCCCCAGAGCUUCCCCUAUCCAUUCCCCGCCUCGGUUCUUCCCCUCCUCUCGGAUCCCCUCCUUCUCCCUGUUGCCGCCAUUAGAGCCGAGCUCGAGCUCGAGUUGCCCGUGCCCCUGGCCAUAGGAUCCCCUCCCAGAGCACGCCAUUAGCUCCGCCUCGUCGCCCUGGUCGUCUCUGCAGAAGCCGAAGCCUCCUCGAGCCCUGCAACGCCCGCAACGCCGUCGUCUUCCUCCUCCGGCCGCCGGACCUCUCCCGUCGAUUCGUCGCCCCCAGGCCUUCCCCGAGCCGUCUAAGCUCUGCUCUGCACUCCCUGUGAGCAUGCGGUCGUUUCCCCUAAGUUUUCCCCGUCGAUCCCCUCCUCUAGCCCUAGCUUCACCGGAGCUCGACGAGGACCGCCGCUGCCGCUCGUCGCCGGAAGCCCUCCGAUGUCCAGCUCGUUCUUCCGAGGGCACCAACAGCUCCAGGACGACGCGUAGAUGCCGUAGCAGCUAAGAACCAAGCGUAGAUCCCUCUGAUUCAAAGACCCCGAUGAUGCUCGAGCCUUGGCCGCCGCCAAGCUCAUCGCCGACGUCAUCUCCGGCCAGAUCAGCCCCGGCUAGGCGCAGAAAUGAAGCUGCGGGAGACGUGCCGUUCCUCCGGUGCUCUCCGCGCAGCAUUUGGCCCCCUGUGCGCCGUUUCCGAGCCCCUCCGCCGUGCUGGUGGUCGCCGGAGGCUCCCCGCCGGCGAGGACGACCUCGCCGCCGAUGGAGGUCGACGUGGCAAGCUAACCCAACCGAUUAGUGACAUAAUCACUCGCUGACAAAUGGGCCCAAGGCCAAGUCAAACCUCAGUUAGGGCUGGUCAGCGCGGGAUUAGUCCCAGAGAAGCUGACCAGUGGGGCCCCCCUGUCAGGUUUGACCUGAACAGGUCGGCUGACCUGCUGAGGUCAGCCUGAUGCAAUAAAUGGAAUUUCCAGUAUAAAACUAAUUCAGGAAAUUGCUAAAAAUUGCAAAAAUCAUAGAAAUUAAUCUGUAACUCCAAUGAAAAUAAAUUAUAUAUGAAAAAGUAUCAGAAAAAUUCAAGGAUUCUGAUAAUGCUAUUUUCAACUAUGUUUGAAAAAGUUACAGGACCCUAAAUUGUGAAAUAAGGAAUAAUUCAAUUCUUUUAAUCACUUUAUAAAUGGAAAUUGCAAAAAUAUCCAAAUUUCAUUAUUAAUGCAAUAAUCACACACUGCCCUAGAUAUAAAUCAGUACCAUAACAUGACAUUUCAUGCAUGUUAACAUUAAGUUGAUCUGAGCAUCAGGUCGAAUCAAUUAAACCGGUAUCCGAGAAUACCCGUUUGAAUUGCUAUUCGAAUGUGAUUCAAAUCAACUCUAAACCUAAUACAUGUUGAAAAUAAUAAUUUAUCACUUGCAUUCUCAUGCCAUGCUCAUGCAUCAUUUUGAGUGCAUAUGAUUGUUAUUGAAUGUUGCCAUUCUUUCGGUAGGCUCCGCACCCCCGGAUUCCACCGAAUAUCCGUCUGACGGAUAUCGUUCCUCCUCUGAGCAACAAGGCAAGCAACCCUUUUGAUCAUCCCGAUAACUCCUAUGUUCCUGCUCCUGCAUCUAAUUAUUGCAUUAGGAUCAAAUGCUUCAACUGCUUUUGCCACGAUAGUUGGACCCACUUCCUUUGCAUGACUUAACCUUGUCACAGUAAAUAGCCGAACCUUGCAACCUAGCCUACCUGGUAGUUGCUUGAGCUAUGAUGUGCCUUAUCCUGCUAUGCAUGCUAUGCUUAGAGUUGUGUAUGGUCUGUCAUCUGGGAGAUGAACAGAAUUGUGGAAUGUGUUCGGUGAGCAAAGGUUGUGUGUUGAACUUGAUUUGGUAAAGGUACCGGUGAAAGGCUGUGUAGGAGUACAUGGCGGGUUGUUUCAUUGGAACCGUCCAUAGGAACUGAGUUCCGUGUAUGUAAUCCAAGACUAGAUACUACCACAUGCUGGGCCCUGAAAUAUGACCCCGCUCGGCCUAUUAAUCGCGUAGUACUCGGUCCAGGAGUUGCAAGUAGUUUCUGGUGUUUAUAGAAAUGCUGGAGGCCGUGCAUGGUGCUGACCUAAGAGGUGGGCCGUGAUGCGGUAGGCAGUGGCACAGUGUACCAAGUGGCACCCAGAUGGUGGGCUUGGGAACCCUGCGCACAUCGUUUGAGGCCGUGGCGGAAACCUCGGCCGGACUUCCGUACGGGUUACUCUCAGAUAGGCGAUAAACCUGGACUAGGUACUAGUGUGGUUAACGGUCGUGGCCGACUCCCUCGCUGGGCUUCCGCUUGAAGGUUGCCGAGGUGCAUGACGCGCACAUGGCGAUAAGUGGCGAGAGCGUGUGUGACGAAGUACACCCCUGCAGGGUUAUGAUCUAUUCGAAUAGCCGCGUCCGCGGAUAUGGACUACUUGGAGACAUAUGUUGUUCAUAGAUAACUUCAAUGGCUACUCAUAAAAUUGUCAAGAUAAGCGUGAGUGUCGUGGACGGCAUUUCGUAUGGAGACGGAAUGAUUCCACGAUAGUGUAUUGUUGUGGUGUUAGUGGACUCGUGUGCGAGAAAUCAAGUUGUCAAAACUAAUUUCAAAAGCAAGUUGUCUAGCCACGAGUCAAAUGCUGGCUUCCCGCAUGAAACCCCACAAUACCUUCUUGAUACCUUGCAUGAGUAGUUAGUCAUCCUAAAGUCUUGCUGAGUACCUUCGUACUCAUGUUUGCUUAAUAAAUGUUGCAGAGGUUGCUAAUGACCCUAAUGGAGGGUUCUUCGUAGACAUCGACGACGACGAGUAGCUGGUGUCCCAGCUACGAUCUGGCCCUACGUCGGCUCUGUAGUAUAGUCAGGCCACGUGCCUACUAGUUGCCCUGUCUGUACCCAGACAGUUUAUAACUCUUCCGCUGGCUUGUAUUGUAUGACUGCUAUUAUGGGUCGUGAGACCCUUAAUGUGUAAUAUUAUGUGUGUGGCUCUUCCGAGCCUCUUAAAUAAAGCUUGUAUGUUUAUGGUUAUGUCGUGAUGCCAUCGAUGUAUCUAUACAUAUCGGUAUGCCAUGCGUACGUGUAUCGUACUUGAUAUGUAUGGGGUUCGAUUACCUAGUCGUGAACUUUAGUAGCACUCCUUACAAGGAAAUGCCCCUUUGUGGUCCAACGAGCCUUGGUAGUUCGCUACUGCUCCGGACACAUUGGUUGACCGGCAUGUGUCCUUCUUAGCUGCUGUGUCUGUCCCCUUUGGGGAAAUGUCACGCGGUGUAAUGGAGUCCUUGUAGCUUGCUACGACUCGUCUACAUUCGCCGAUGACCGACACCUGCUUUGUUGGGUCAUGUAUGCCUGUCCUUGUGCGGUACUGCCACUUUGGUUUAUGACUAGACAUGUCGAUCCGGGUUCUUUGACAUUGGAUUGCUAGCGAUACUAUCGCAUACGUGAGUCAAAAGACGCAAACGGUCCCGGCUAAGGUAAGGCUGCAGCCGUGGAGUUAACCGUGCGUGAGACCACAAAGGGAUGCCAUGGGUUACAGGCUAGAUUCCUAUGGCUUAGGAUCAGGGUCCCGACAGCGUUGGUAUCAGGACCUGACUGACUGUAGGAUUACUAAGCCAAACUGGUCGAAGUUGAGUCUAGAAUUUCUUAGUUAUAUAUAAGGGAAUUGUUUGUGGAAGGGAACGUAACACUCUUGUUCUCUUCUCAAGAUAUUCUAUUCUGGUCAUCCUCGUCUUUUCCGCGGGAAUUAAGGACUAGGUUGCUCAUCUUCUCCUAGGCUCGUGUUUUCGAUCGGUAGCUUAUAGGACUACGGGUCGAGAGAUAUUGGGUUUCUUUUAUUCCUAGGAAGCAGGAAGUAAGUUUUGAUGAUCAGAGAGUUGAACUUGAUAGUUGAGUGGUUACUCUAUUCCAUUUUUGGGUUGUCUCAAAAAUUUGUUUUUGAGCAUUUAUAGCCGUUAUGCUGCCCAAUUUUUCAUUCGGAGCUCUAAUGCUUUUGCAUUACUCUCUAUUUUACAGAUGCCUGGUCGUCCUUCUCGUCAGGUGGUACGUCUGACCAGGUGCAUUGAUGUGCCGGGUCAUACGGCCAUGCUGGUCAGGGUGAUGUCGGUGUGCGGUUACCGCUGGUACCCCGAGUACACAGUAGAGGAACAGUACCGAGACUUCAACCAGAGUCAGUACAUCUGCACUGUUAGGGUAUUUCCAGACUACCCUGGAGCGGAGAAGCCAAUCCAUUGGUCCUAUGGGUUGGGGGUCACCGUUGACAUGGCAGUACAAGAUGCUGCCUAUUCAAUGCUGACUAUUAUGAGAGCGAGACAUGCACUGCUGCAGAAUUCAGAGUUCUGCUAUGUUCCGGCCUCUCAGUCUGGUGAAGAGGGAUACCUCAGUGGAGUCUAUUUUGAUUCUUCUAUGGAGGAUCCACUUCUGCAGUCCACUGUUGAGAUGCUAGAGAACAGAGACAGGGAUGCUCGUGCUCUCCGCAUGGAGCUUUAUGCUACCCGUGCCUGCCUGUGGACAGCUUUGACGCAGCUGGCACCGGUAGUCCAGACAGGGUAUGGAGAGAUGGAGAUGCUGAACCCUGUUAGGACCCAUCUUCCGGCCCACGUUGACUGGCCAGCUAUAGGAGGAGUCACACCUCUUCGGGGACCCCUCUUACCACCAGUCAGGGGACCAAGGCCACAUCCGUGUCCUUAUGGAUCCCAGGGAUCUCAGGCUAGAGUGUUUCCUGAUCCGCAGGUUGAGCUUCCAGGUCAUGGAGGUAAUCUCUAUGAGAUGUUCUAUGCGGAUGCCUGAGCUGUGAGCGGAAGGAUAGUAUGGUAGUAGCAGUACAUUCACAGUCCUGCGUGAUUUGUGAAGUAUGGUAGUAAUGUGAAAUGAAUUCCGGAGGCCUAGAUAAAUAAUGUAUAGGAAGCUCGUAAGCCUCUCAUGAGUAGUUCCAUCAUUUCAGUAGUUUGCUCUUCGGUUAAGUUUGUACUGAACUAUGUAAGGGUGUGUAUGAACCAUGGUGUAUAUAUAGCAGUGGCUUGUUACCAUGUUGUUCGGAUAUUCAUUUCCGCAUUCCGUGUGUUCAGUACAUUCUUAAUCCAUAGCUAGUAUUGAUAUGAUUUUGGUCUAAGCUAUGAGUUUGUUUGUCAGGAUGGUGUUCACCAGGUUGAACCGUGCCCCUGCUCAUGAGCAAGGUGAGGGUAGUCAAGCGUCGCAGGAAGACCUGCCUCACCCACCUUCUCUGGCAGAAGUGAUGCUUGAGGCAGAAAGAAACAAAAGGGAGACCAACCGACUGCUAGAGCGUAUUGAGCAGAAUACGGCUCGACAGCCUAGGAAUGCUGCAGUGUCCCUCAAUGACUUUGUGAAGCUGAAUCCUCCAAAGUUUCAUCAUUCUGUCGAUCCCCUCGACGUUGAUGACUGGCUGUGCAACAUCUCACGCAAGAUUCGCUCGGCGAAUGUGUCUGAGGCCGACAAGGUGACCUUCGCGACGUAUUUCCUGGAAGGCCCCGCCAAUCUGUGGUGGGAGAAUUUUGAAGCUAUGCGUCCCGCUGAACCAGUGGCCACCUGGGCAGACUUCAGCGCAGCUUUUCGUCUGCACCAUAUUCCAGAGGGCCUGAUGGACAGAAAGAGAGAGGAGUUCUGUGCCUUCACUCAGGGCAAGUUGUCUGUGGAUGCCUAUAGCCGCGAGUUCGGUAACCUCGCCCGCUAUGCAACAGAGGAGGUGUCUACUACGCCAAGAAGCAAGCAAGAUUCCGUAAGGGUCUGAGCCCUGAGCUCCGUCGAGACCUGCGCCUUCAUGAGUGUGCAAGUUUUCAAGCCCUAGUCAACAAAGCGAUCAGUGCGGAGACUGGUCAUUCUGACUUCGAAGCCACAAGGAAGCACUCCCGUGACUUUGGCUCAUCUUCUGGUUCCGCGUUUCCAAAACGCAGGCUGUGGGUUCCAAACAGUUCUCUGCCGCCAAGAUACACUCUGAGGCCAUCCUACGUGGCGCCUCAGACGAAUCAGGCCAACCCUCCAGCAAAAGCUUAUGGUGGUCCAGCUAGCAAUGCCGCACCACGUGCCAACCAGGUGAUAUGCUACAAGUGUGGAGAACCAGGGCAUUAUUCCCGUGAGUGUCCUCAGAAUGUGGGUGCCAAGCAAUCCGGAAAGUCCGUCGGGCAGGCCAAGUCGGGCAAAGCUUAUUAUGUGAAGCCAACUCCUGCACGUGGCCGUGUGAACUAUGUGUCAGCAGAAGAAGCUACAGAGGAUCCCGACGUCAUGCUGGGUACGCUUCUUGUUAAUCAUCACCCAACGUCCGUUCUCUUUGACACUGGGUCUUCUCAUUCCUUCAUUUCAGAAAGUUAUGCACAGUUGCAUAACAUGUCAUUUUGUGAUAUGCCAAUCCCAUUGGUUGUCCAAACCCCUGGUAGUAAAUGGCAAACCUCUAGGAUAACCUAUGAUAAUGAAAUUCUAGUAGACAGGCUAGUUUUUCUAGCCUCAUUGAUAGCAUUGAAAUCUUUGGAUAUUAAUAUCAUCUUGGGCAUGGACUGGAUGUCAGCUCACUAUGCCAAGAUUGAUACUCAAUCUAGAAAUGUCCAGCUUACCCAUCCCUCGGGUGAGAUAGUAAAUGUCUCUACUCGAGUUGCCAAAUGCCAGCUCUAUUCUUUAAAUGCCAACCCCCUUCCGGAACUUGAAGACAUUCCGGUAGUCCGUGACUUCCCGGAUGUUUUUCCAGAGGAACUGCCAGGAAUUCCACCUGGCAGAGAUGUAGAGUUUGUGAUAGAUCUUGUUCCGGGAACUGUCCCAAUAGCCAGAAGACCUUAUAAGAUGGCACCCCUAGAGCUAGCCGAACUUAAGAAGCAAUUAGAUGAGGCCUUGAACAAAGGUUUCAUUCGUGCUAGCUCUUCUCCUUGGGCUUGUCCCGUCCUCUUCGUCAAGAAGAAAGACGGAACGGAUCGGAUGGUUGUAGAUUACCGACCAGUUAACCUGGUCACCAUAAAGAACAAGUAUCCGCUCCCGAGGAUCAACGAUCUGUACGAUCAACUCGUUGGAUCCUCAGUCUUCUCCAAAAUGGAUUUGAGGUUGGGAUACCAUCAAAUCAAGAUUAAGAACGGGGACAUUCCAAAAAUGGCCUUUGUUACUCGUUAUGGCCAAUAUGAGUACACCGUUAUGUCCUUCGGUUUAACCAAUGCCCCAGCCACCUUCUCUCGGCUGAUGAACUCAAUCUUCAUGGAGUAUUUGGAUAAAUUCUUCAUAGUAUACCUCGAUGAUAUUCUCAUCUACUCAAGGAAUGAACAAGAACAUGCCGAGCAUCUAAGGCUGGUAUUGAUGAAACUUCGAGAGCAUCGCCUUUAUGCCAAAUUUUCAAAAUGUGAAUUCUGGUUACCAGAAGUGACCUAUCUAGGCCACGUAAUCUCUGGUAAGGGUAUUGCUGUCAAUCCCGAGAGAGUUCAAGAUGUCCUUGAUUGGACUCAACCUGAAUCGGUUAAGCAAGUUAGGAGUUUUCUUGGUCUAGCGAGCUAUUGUCGCCGCUUCGUCGAGAAUUUCUCCAAGGUUGCAGAGCCUCUAACUGAACUCCUCAAGAAGGAUAAAAAGUUCGAGUGGACACCACAGUGUGAGCAUAGUUUUCAGGAACUGAAAAGAUGCCUGACUUCCGCACCUGUGUUGCUACCACCAGAUUUUUCUAAAGACUUUGUUAUCUAUUGCGACGCCUCGCGACAAGGAUUAGGUUGCAUUCUCAUGCAAGAUCGUCAUGUGAUCGCAUACGCAUAUCGACAGUUGCGUCCACAUGAGGAUAAUUAUCCCACACAUGACCUUGAGCUUGCAGCUGUGGUCCAUGCACUAAAAACCUGGCGACAUUACCUUUUCGGUAAUCGUUGCGAAAUAUUCACUGAUCACCAAAGUCUGAAAUAUAUCUUCACCCAGCCGGAUUUGAAUCUCAGGCAAAGACGGUGGGUUGAGUUGAUCUCGGAUUACGACUUAGGGAUAACUUACACCCCGGGGAAGGCCAAUGUUAUGGCCGAUGCACUAAGUCGUAAAUCUUAUUGUAACAAUUUGAUGCUACAACAAGGUCAACCACUUCUCCAUGAGGACUUUCGGAAGUUGAAUCUUCGUAUUGUUCCUCAAGGAUUCCUUUCUACCCUGGUGGCGAAGCCUACUCUUAAGGAUCAAAUUAUAGCUGGCCAAAAGCGUGACAAGGGUAUAUCACGGAUCAAGGAGGGUAUUUUUAGCGGAAACGCUAAAGAAUUUUCCAUGAAUGAUCAAGGUGUGGUGUUCUUCCAGAAUCGUUUAGUGGUUCCUAAGAACCCACAUCUAAGGCAGUUAAUCCUUAAGGAGGCUCAUGAUUCCCCUCUCACCAUUCAUCCCGGUAGUACUAAGAUGUAUCAGGACCUACGCCAGAGGUUCUGGUGGACUAGGAUGAAGAGAGAAAUUGCUGAGUUCGUUGCUAACUGCGACGUUUGUCACCGAGUUAAGGCAGAACAUCAAAGGCCUGCUGGCACCCUUCAACCUUUAGCUAUUCCUGAAUGGAAAUGGGAUAAAGUUAGCAUGAAUUUCAUUACCGGAUUUCCCAAGACCAAAAAAGGAAAUAAUGCUAUCUUUGUGGUCAUUGACCGUCUUUCCAAAGUGGCUCAUUUUCUUCCUGUUCGUGAGAGUAUAACAGCUAGCCAGCUAGCAGAGUUAUAUAUCUCUCGAAUAGUGUCUCUUCAUGGUGUUCCCCUGGAAAUUAACUCGGACCGUGGAAGUAUUUUUACUUCUCGUUUCUGGGAAAGUUUUCAGAAUGCCAUGGGGACUCACUUAUCUUUUAGCACUGCUUUCCAUCCUCAAUCAAGUGGUCAAGUAGAAAGAGUGAAUCAAAUUCUAGAAGAUAUGCUCCGAGCUUGUGUUAUAUCGUUCGGUAUGAAUUGGGAGAAGUGUCUUCCAUUCGCCGAAUUCGCUUAUAACAAUAGUUAUCAAUCAAGCUUGGGCAAAGCCCCUUUUGAAGUUCUCUAUGGACAAAGAUGUCAAACCCCUCUUAAUUGGUCAGAAACCGGAGAGAGGCAACUCUUUGGCCCGGAUAUGAUCCAGGAUGCAGAAGAGCAGGUUCGCAUUAUUCGUGAAAAGUUGAAAACAGCCCAGUCUCGUCAAAAGAGCCAAUAUGAUCGUCAUCAUAAGGCUGUGACCUUUGAAGUUGACGAGAAGGCUUACCUUCGGGUUACACCUUUGAAGGGUACCCAUCGUUUCGGUAUCAAGGGCAAGUUGGCUCCUCGUUACAUUGGACCUUUUCGCAUUCUUGCCAAACGAGGAGAAGUUGCCUACCAGUUGGAACUUCCUCCGCAUCUUUCCAAGGUUCAUGAUGUUUUCCACGUCUCGCAAUUCAGGCGUUGCUUUUCGGAUGCUAUCCAUGAAGUGGACCACGAAACGCUUGAUCUACAAGAUAACCUUUCUUACCGAGAAUACCCCGUGCGUAUUCUUGAUCAAGCUGAGCGUACCACUCGACGUCGAAACCUCAAGUUUCUUAAAGUUCAAUGGUCAAAUCAUUCUGAAAAGGAGGCAACUUGGGAAAGAGAGGAUCGUCUCCGACUCGAAUAUCCUGCGUUAUUCCCGACGACUUCUAAAUCUCGGGACGAGAUUCUUUUGAGUGGGGGUGAGUUGUCACAUCCCUAACCCUUAAGUAAGAUAGCAUUGUGCUCAUGUCUUCUUUGCAUUUGCAUCUAAGAAGUUUCAACAAAAACAACAAAGUGGCAAAGGAAAAACUCAAAACCCUAGCCACCAUUUCAAUUAAAGGAAAUUUCAACUAGUUCAAAAUCAAUGAACCCAAAAUGGCCUCAAGAAAUGUUCAAACUUUUUGAUAAAUCAUGAAAGUAAAUGAGCAUUGGAGAAAACUAUUUUCUUGACACUUUAAGCAUUUUAAAUAAAUGCAAAAGCCACUGGUUUCAAAUUUAAAAUUUGAAAUCAGAAACUAUAAUUUUCCAAAAAUGUUGAAAGCCUUGGAAAUGAGUGGGGAUAUUAUAACAAAUAUUUCAGGAGGUCUAAAAUAGUUUUUACUUUUUGUUUUGGAGCUGAAAUAAUUAGCAAAGCAAUAAAUAGCAAAACAGAAAAACAAAAACAGAGAAAAUGGGAAAAAACUUACCUGUCGCCUCAGCCUGGCCUGGCGCAUCUCCCCGCUCGUCCCCUCCCUCGCGCCAGUAGGCAGCACGAGGUGGCCGCCGCCUCCUCCGGCGCGGCCACGCACCUGCGUGCCUGCCUGGCCGCCGGUUCGCGCUGGCGACGACGGGGAUAAGCUCCCCAGAGCUUCCCCUAUCCAUUCCCCGCCUCGGUUCUUCCCCUCCUCUCGGAUCCCCUCCUUCUCCCUGCUGCCGCCAUUAGAGCCGAGCUCGAGCUCGAGCUGCCCGUGCCCCUGGCCAUAGGAUCCCCUCCCAGAGCACGCCAUUAGCUCCGCCUCGUCGCCCUGAUCGUCUCUGCAGAAGCCGAAGCCUCCUCGAGCCCUGCAACGCCCGCAAUGCCGUCGUCUUCCUCCUCCGGCCGUCGGACCUCUCCCGUCGAUUCGUCGCCCCCAGGCCUUCCCCGAGCCGUCUAAGCUCUGCUCUGCACUCCCUGUGAGCAUGCGGUCAUUUCCCCUAAGUUUUCCCCGUCGAUCCCCUCCUCUAGCCCUAGCUUCACCGGAGCUCGACGAGGACCGCCGCUGCCGCUCGUCGCCGGUAGCCCUCCGAUGUCCAGCUCGUUCUUCCGAGGGCACCAACAGCUCCAGGACGACGCGUAGAUGCCGUAGCACCUAAGAACCGAGCGUAGAUCCCUCUGAUUCAAAGACCCCGAUGACGCCCAAGCCUUGGCCGCCGCCAAGCUCGUCGCCGACGUCAUCUCCGGCCAGAUCAGCCCCGGCUAGGCGCAGAAAUGAAGCUGCGGGAGACGUGUCGUUCCUCCGGUGUUCUCCGCGCAGCAUUUGGCCCCCUGUGCGCCGUUUCCGAGCCCCUCCGCUGUGCUGGUGGUUGCCGGAGGCUCCCCGCCGGCGAGGACGACCUCGCCGCCGAUGGAGGUCGACGUGGCAAGCUAACCCAGCCGAUUAGUGACUUAAUCACUCGCUGACAAGUGGGCCCAAGGCCAAGUCAAACCUCAGUUAGGGCUCGUCAGCGCGGGAUUAGUCCCAGAGAGGCUGACCAGUGGGGCCCCCCUGUCAGGUUUGACCUGAACAGGUCUGCUGACCUGCUGACGUCAGCCUGAUGCAAUAAAUGGAAUUUCCAGUAUAAAACUAAUUCAGGAAAUUGCUAAAAAUUGCAAAAAUCAUAGAAAUUAAUCUGUAACUCCAAUGAAAAUAAAUUAUAUAUGAAAAAGUAUCAGAAAAAUUCAAGGAUUCUGAUAAUGCUAUUUUCAACUAUGUUUGAAAAAGUUACAGGACCCUAAAUUGUGAAAUAAGGAAUAAUUCAAUUCUUUUAAUCACUUUAUAAAUGGAAAUUGCAAAAAUAUCCAAAUUUCAUUAUUAAUGCAAUAAUCACACACUGCCCUAGAUAUAAAUCAGUACCAUAACAUGACAUUUCAUGCAUGUUAACAUUAAGUUGAUCUGAGCAUCAGGUCGAAUCAAUUAAACCGGUAUCCGAGAAUACCCGUUUGAAUUGCUAUUCGAAUGUGAUUCAAAUCAACUCUAAACCUAAUACAUGUUGAAAAUAAUAAUUUAUCACUUGCAUUCUCAUGCCAUGCUCAUGCAUCAUUUUGAGUGCAUAUGAUUGUUAUUGAAUGUUGCCAUUCUUUCGGUAGGCUCCGCAUCCCCGGAUUCCACCGAAUAUCCGUCUAACGGAUAUCGUUCCUCCUCUGAGCAACAAGGCAAGCAACCCUUUUGAUCAUCCCGAUAACUCCUAUGUUCCUGCUCCUGCAUCUAAUUAUUGCAUUAGGAUCAAAUGCUUCAACUGCUUUUGCCACGAUAGUUGGACCCACUUCCUUUGCAUGACUUAACCUUGUCACAGUAAAUAGCCGAACCUUGCAACCUAGCAUACCUGGUAGUUGCUUGAGCUAUGAUGUGCCUUAUCCUGCUAUGCAUGCUAUGCUUAGAGUUGUGUAUGGUCUGUCAUCUGGGAGAUGAACAGAAUUGUGGAAUGUGUUCGGUGAGCAAAGGUUGUGUGUUGAACUUGAUUUGGUAAAGGUACCGGUGAAAGGCUGUGUAGGAGUACAUGGUGGGUUGUUUCAUUGGAACCGUCCAUAGGAACUGAGUUCCGUGUAUGUAAUCCAAGACUAGAUACUACCACAUGCUGGGCCCUGAAAUAUGACCCCGCUCGGCCUAUUAAUCGCGUAGUACUCGGUCCAGGAGUUGCAAGUAGUUUCUGGUGUUUAUAGAAAUGCUGGAGGCCGUGCAUGGUGCUGACCUAAGAGGUGGGCCGUGAUGCGGUAGGCAGUGGCACGGUGUACCAAGUGGCACCCGGAUGGUGGGCUUGGGAACCCUGCGCACAUCGUUUGAGGCCGUGGCGGAAACCUUGGCCGGACUUCCGUACGGGUUACUCUCAGAUAGGCGAUAAACCUGGACUAGGUACUAGUGUGGUUAACGGUCGUGGCCGACUCCCUCGCUGGGCUUCCGCUUGAAGGUUGCCGAGGUGCAUGACGCGCACAUGGCGAUAAGUGGCGAGAGCGUGUGUGACGAAGUACACCCCUGCAGGGUUAUGAUCUAUUCGAAUAGCCGCGUCCGCGGAUAUGGACUACUUGGAGACAUAUGUUGUUCAUAGAUAACUUCAAUGGCUACUCAUAAAAUUGUCAAGAUAAGCGUGAGUGUCGUGGACGGCAUUUCGUAUGGAGACGGAAUGAUUCCACGAUAGUGUAUUGUUGUGGUGUUAGUGGACUCGUGUGCGAGAAAUCAAGUUGUCAAAACUAAUUCCAAAGCAAGUUGUCUAGCCACGAGUCAAAUGCUGGCUUCCCGCAUGAAACCCCACAAUACCUUCUUGAUACCUUGCAUGAGUAGUUAGUCAUCCUAAAGUCUUGCUGAGUACCUUCGUACUCAUCUUUGCUUAAUAAAUGUUGCAGAGGUUGCUAAUGACCCUAAUGGAGGGUUCUUCGUAGACAUCGACGACGACGAGUAGCUGGUGUCCCAGCUACGAUCUGGCCCUACGUCGGCUCUGUAGUAUAGUCAGGCCACGUGCCUACUAGUUGCCCUGUCUGUACCCAGACAGUUUAUAACUCUUCCGCUGGCUUGUAUUGUAUGACUGCUAUUAUGGGUCGUGAGACCCUUAAUGUGUAAUAUUAUGUGUGUGGCUCUUCCGAGCCUCUUAAAUAAAGCUUGUAUGUUUAUGGUUAUGUCGUGAUGCCAUCGAUGUAUCUAUACAUAUCGGUAUGCCAUGCGUACGUGUAUCGUACUUGAUAUGUAUGGGGUUCGAUUACCUAGUCGUGAACUUUAGUAGCACUCCUUACAAGGAAAUGCCCCUUUGUGGUCCAACGAGCCUUGGUAGUUCGCUACUGCUCCGGACACAUUGGUUGACCGGCAUGUGUCCUUCUUAGCUGCUGUGUCUGUCCCCUUUGGGGAAAUGUCACGCGGUGUAAUGGAGUCCUUGUAGCUUGCUACGACUCGUCUACAUUCGCCGAUGACCGACACCUGCUUUGUUGGGUCAUGUAUGCCUGUCCUUGUGCGGUACUGCCACUUUGGUUUAUGACUAGACAUGUCGAUCCGGGUUCUUUGACAUUGGAUUGCUAGCGAUACUAUCGCAUACGUGAGUCAAAAGACGCAAACGGUCCCGGCUAAGGUNNNNNNNNNNNNNNNNNNNNNNNNNNNNNNNNNNNNNNNNNNNNNNNNNNNNNNNNNNNNNNNNNNNNNNNNNNNNNNNNNNNNNNNNNNNNNNNNNNNNUAUACGAGGUUAUCGAAAGUUGUUCGGAGUCCCGGAUGAGAUCCCGGAUGUCACGAGGAGCUCCGGAAUGGUCCGGAGGUAAAGAUUGAUAUAUAGGAUGGAUGGGUUUGGACGCCGAAAAUGUUUCGGGCACCACCGGCAAAGUGCCGGGACCACCGGAAGGGUUCCGAAGGACCACCGGGAGGGGCCACAAGCCCCGGAGGGCUGCAUGGGCCAAGUGCGGGUGGGAACCAGCCCCUAGGUGGGCUGGUGCGCCCCCCACACCCAGCCCAUGCGCACCAGAGAGGGAGGGAGGGGGAACCCUAGGCGCAGGGGAGGCCCAAGGCCCACCUAGGGCGCGCCCCCCUUGCCCUGCCCUGGCCGCCGCCCCCCUCUCCCAUAUGGUAGCCGCCGGCCCCUAGGGAGGGAACCCUAGGGGUGGCGCAGACCUCCCCCUCCUCCUAUAAAUAGAGAGGGGUUUUGGCCAUUGGGAGAUAGACUUUUCCCUCUCCCUCGGCGCAACCCUGCCCUUCUUUCUCCUCCUCUCUGCCGGUGCUUGGCGAAGCCCUACCGGGAGACCUCGUCUCUCCAUCGACACCACGUCGUCGUGCUGCUAGAGUUCUUCCCCAACCUCUCCCUCCUCCUUGCUGGAUCAAGGUGCGGGAGACGUCACCGGGCUGCACGUGUGUUGAACACGGAGGUGUCAUGGUUCGGCACUAGAUCGGAAUCACACCGCGAUGUGAAUCGUCGCGAGUACGACUCCAUCAACCGUGUUCUAGUAACGCUUCCGCUUAGCGAUCUUCAAAGGUAUGAAGAUGCUCUCACCCCUCUCUCGUUGUUGGUCUCUCCAUAGGAAGAUCUGAAUAUGCGUAGGAAAGAUUUUGAAUUUAUGCUAUGUUACCCAACAGUGGCAUCCGAGCCAGGUUUUCUAUGCGUAGAUUCUAUGUACGAGUAGAACACAAAAGGUUGUGGGCAAUGAUUUGUCAAUUGCUUGCCGCUACUAGUCUUAUUCUUUUUCCGGAGGUAUUGUGGGAGGAAGCGGCCCGGACCGACAUUACACGUACGCUUACGUGAGACUGGUUCCACCGACACACAUGCACACCGUGCAUAAAGGUGGCUAGCGGGUGUCUGUCUCUCCUACUCUAUUCGGAUUGGAUUUGAUGAAAAGGGUCCUUAUGAAGGGUAAAUAGCUUUGGCAUAUCAUCGUUGUGGCUGUCACGUAGGUAAGAAGGCGUUCGUGCUAGAAACCCAAAUCAGCCACGUAAAACUUGCAGCAACAAUUAGAGGACGUCUAACUUGUUUUUGCAGGGUUUGACAUGUGAUGUGAUAUGGCCAAAGUUGUGAUGUUGCAUGUACGAUGUAUGAGAUGAUCAUGUUAUUGUAAUAGGUUUCACGACUUGCAUGUCGAUGAGUAUGACAACCGGCAGGAGCCAUAGGAGUUGUCUUAAUUUAUUGUAUGAGAUGCAACGCCAUGUGCUUACUAGUUUUACUUCAUUGCUAACGGUUACCUAUAGUAGUAGUGACAGUAGUAGUUGGCGUGAAGACUUCACGGAUACACGAUGAUGGAGAUCAUGAUGAUGGAGAUCAUGGUGUCACGCCGGUGAUGAUGAUGAUCAUGCGAUGCCUGAAGAUGGAGAUCGAAAGAGCAAAGAUGAUGAUGGCCAUAUCAUGUCACUAUAUGAUUGCAUUGUGAUGUUUAUCAUGUUUAUCAUCUUAUUGCUUAGAACGACGGUAGCAUAAUAAGAUGACCCCUCUUAAAAUUUCAAGAACGUAUUCCCCUAAGUGUGCACCAUUGCGAAGGAUCAUUGUCUCGAAGCACCACGUGAUGAUCGGGUGUGAUAGAUUCUAACGUUCGCAUACAACGGGUGUAAGCCAGAUUUACACACGCGAAACACCUAGGUUGACUCGAUGAGCUUAGCAUGUACAGACAUGACCUCGAUUACAAGAGACCGAAAGGUCGAACAUGAGUCGAAAGGUUGAAUACAAUCAGCAUGAAGUUGCUCACCAUGGUGACUAGUCUAUCUCACGUGAUGAUCGGAUACGGGUUAGUCAACAUGGAUCAUGUAUCACUUAGAUGACUAGAGGGAUGUCGAUUUAAGUGGGAGUUCAUACUUAAUUUGAUUAAAUGAACUUAAUUGUCAUGAACUUAGUCUAAAAGUUAUCUUUAUAAAUAUUGUAGAUGGCCAACGUCAACCUCAAUUUCAACGCAUUCCUAGAGAAAAACAAGCUGAAAGAUGAUGGUAGCAACUAUGCGGACUGGGUUCGCAACUUGUAGCUCAUCCUUGAAGCAGCUAAAAAGGCUUAUGUCCUUGAUGCGCCGCUAGGUGACCCUCCCGCUCCCGCAGCAGCCCAGGACAUUCUGAACGUCUGGCAAAUGCGGAGUGAUGACUACUCUGUGGUUAGGUGUGGCCUGUUAUACAGUUUAGAAACGGGGCUCCAAAGGCGUUUUGAGCAACACGGUGCAUAUGAGAUGUUCCAAGAGCUGAAGCUAGUUUUUCAAGCUCGUGCCUGUGUAGAGAGAUAUGAAGUCUCCGACAAGUUCUUUAGCUGUAAGAUGGAGGAGAACAGUUCUGUCAGCGAGCACAUACUCAAAAUGUCUGGGUUACACGAUCGUCUGACUUCACUUGCAGCCGAACUUCCGGAUGAUGCUAUAAUUGACAGAAUCCUCCAGUCUCUCUCACCAAGCUACAAAGGCUUUGUGCUUAACUACAACAUGCAAGGGAUGGAGAAGACCAUUCCCGAGUUGUACUCGAUGCUCAAGUCUGCAGAAGUAGAAAUCAAGAAAGAGCAUCAAGUGUUGAUGGUCAACAAGAUCACUAGUUUCAAGAAGGGCAAGGGUAAGAAGAACUUCAAGAAAGACGGCAAAGCUGUUGCCGCGCCCGAUAAGCCAGAUGCCGGGAAGAAGAAAAAGAAUGGACCCAAGCCUGAGACUGAGUGCUUCUAUUGCAAGGGAAAAGGUCACUCGAAGCGGAACUGUCCCAAAUACUUAGCGGACAAGAAGGCCGGCAACGUUAAAGGUAUAUGUGAUAUACACGUUAUUGAUGUGUACCUUACCAGCGCUCGUAGUAGCUCCUGGGUAUUUGAUACCGGUGUUGUUGCUCACAUUUUUGCAACUCAAAGCAGGAACUACGGAAUAAGCGGAGACACACUUGGUGGGAUUAAGCUUCAUCUGAUAUACCCGCAGAUUAUCAAAAGUUUCCUUGAGCUCUCCCAGUAGCAUUUCCUUCCUGUGAGUUUUAACCACAAUGUCAUCAACAUAGGCAUGGACGUUGCGUCCGAUUUGGCCACGGAGGCAAUUUUGGAUGCAGUGCUGAUAAGUCGCCCCUGCACUCUUGAGUCCGAAAUGGCAUGGACACAUAGCAAAAAGCCCCAAAGCGGGUUAUAAAAUCUGUUUUCUCCUGAUCUUCCACGGCCAUCUUGAUUUGGUGAUAUCCGGAAUAAGCGUCCAGGAAGUACAAACGUUCGCAUCCCGCCACUGAAUCAAUAAUUUGAUCGAUGCGGGGAAGAGCGAAAGGAUCCUUUGGACAAGCUCUGUUAAGAUCCAUGUAAUCAAUGCACAUACGGAAGGUACCGUUCUUCUUGAGCACCAGGACCGGGUUAGCCAACCAUUUGGGGUGGAAGACCUCUACGAUGAAUCCGUCGGCCAAGAGACGGGCAACUUCCUCCCCGAUUGCCUUGCUCGUUCCUCAUUGAACCUACGAAGAUAUUGCUGAAUAGGUUUUGCUUUUGGGUCAACAUUAAGAUGGUGCUCAGCGAAUUCUCUCGGCACACCAGGCAUGUCAGAAGGUUUCCAUGCGAAGAUGUCCCGAUUCUCACGGAUGAAUUCGAUGAGCGCGCUUUCCUAUUUGGGAUCCAGAUCCGUCCCAAUAGUGAACUGCUUGGUUGCGUCGCCAGGGACAAAAUCCACUGUCUUAGUGUCAUGUGUUGGCUUGAACUUGAGGGGAGGCUCUGCGUCUGUCGUUGGCUCCUUUAAAGGUGACAUAUCAGCCGGAUCAACAUUGGCCUGCUGAUAUUUAAGCUCUUCCGCGGCACAGGCGACUUCUGCGUAAGCCGCAUCCCCUUAUUCACACUCUCUUGCAAUCCUCCUAUCGCCAUCAACCGUGAUGGGUCCUUUAGGACCAGCCAUCUUGAGUUCAAGGUAAACAUAGCAGGGCGAGCCAUGAACCGGACGUAAGCCGGUCGCCCAAAAAGCGCAUGAUAGGGGCUCUUUAACUUGACCACCUCAAACAUAAGCGACUCACUCCUGUAGUUAGACGUUGUUCCAAACGCAACUGUGAGCCUAACUCGCCCUAUGGGAUACGCCGAUUUACCUGGGACAAUCCCGUUGAAUACCGUGGUUGAGGGCAUCAAAUCUUUCUCCAACAGGUUCAUCCUUUGGAAGGUGUCGAAGUAUAAUAUGUUGAUGCUGCUGCCACCAUCCAUCAGUACCUUCGAUAAAGUAUAUCCUCCAACUUGGGGAGCCACGACCAACGCUAAGUCGCCGGGAUUGUCAACUCUUGGCGGGUGAUCCUCCCUACUCCAUGAUAUAGUCUGCUCGGACCAGUGGAGGUAUCUGGGGAGUGUCGGCUCAGAUACACUGUACGCUCGGUGACUCACCUUUUUAUCACGCCUGUAGGCAUUGGUGGUGAAAACGUGGCACUGCCCAUUACUUAACUGCUUGGGGUUGUUGCAGAAGCCGCCAUUAUCGUCCUGCCCCUGCGAAGCCCCCUGUGGGGGUGGUUGUUGAAAAACUCCAGGUGGGUUAUACCGUCGUUGGUGAUGCACCGGAUACUGGCCACUGCUUGGCUGCGAGCCACCCUGAGCCCCGGGUUCUGGGAAGCCGCCGAAGGGGUUUUGGCAUUGAUUAGAUGUGCCAAACUGUUCCUGCCGUUGGUCCGGGUCACCGCCUUGCCCUUUUUUGAUCGCCUCCACCCGAAACUCCCGCAUCACGUAACAGUCUUCCCAGGAAUGAGUCGCCGGUCCGUCUGCCAUGGGAUGGUGCGAGCAGGGGCCUUUUAGUAACUCAUUAUAGUUGCGCGGCUUUUUUCCACUAUAACCCCUAUUCUUUUUCUGGCGCUGGUUGCCAUUAUUGGUGUUGGUGUUGGCGACUAAGUUCGAAGACUCUUCCUGCUGCCUUCUCUUGCCAUUCGCUCCAUGAUUAUGGCGGGCGCGUCCCUGGAACCGGGUAUGAUUUUUGGAUGACUCGCCUUUCCUUGGCGAAUUGGCUUUACCACCAUCCUCUCCGGGAUCUUUGGUGUCGUCCGCCUCAGCGUACCUAGUGAGGGUGUCCAUUAGCUCCCCCAUGUCUUGGACCUUUCGCUUGAGUCGCCCCAACUUCCGCACCAAGGGCUCGUAGUGGCAAUUCUACUCUAGGAUCAGCACAUCCUGAGCCGCCGUAAUACCGUCCGACGAGUGAAUGAUUUCCGCGACCCACCGCGACCAGUGGUGGGCCGACUCAUCCGGGCGUUGAACGCAGUGCUGUAAAUCGACUAUUGUCAUCGAGCGUUUGCAGUGAUAAAACGCUCUUUUAAUUCAACCCAAGUCUGGAUGGAGUUGGGGGGGCAAGUUCUUUAACCAAGCACGCGUCGUCCCCUCGAGCAUCGUUGUGAAGUAUCUGGUGCAAACUGCUUCGCUUACAUCGAGCAUGUCCAUGACGAUUUCGUAACUCUCGACCCACGACGCCGGCUCAAGGUUCGGAGUGUAGUUAGGCACCUUUCUUGGCCCUUUAAAAUCCUUGGCCAUUCGCUCGUUGCGAAGGGAGAGGGCCAAACACGGCACCCCCACUUGUCUGCCGCUUCCAACAAGAGGCGCUGGGGUGACUUGGGCGUCCGGGUGAUCCCGACCUGGCGGGUCUCGAUGAUCAGGCGAAUUGACCUGGCGAAAGGGUCGUGGUCCGCUAGUUAUAGUGGGUUGGUCCUCUGGCCGACUCCUGGUGUGGCUUGCCUGGGGAGUGGAGUGCAGCCGAUCUAGGCUGUGUGAGAACUGGGCAUUUUGAACCACCGCCGUCUUCAACAUCUCAAUGGCGUUCCUUGCCUCUAUCUCGGCUGGAGUGUUGCCGUGAAUCGGAAGGGAUUCUAAAUGGCGGGUUGUGGCAAGGACGUUGUCCACCGGGUUGGAAAAGUGACCUUGAGAUGUCUGGGAUCGGGGAACGCGAUCCAUAGCUGGCUGAAAUGGCGGGUUCGGUGGUUGGCCCGGCCCUCCCCCCGGGGCGGCUCCUGCCCCGGGAGUUCAUGGAGUGUCGAAUAGGCGGGUCGGGUUGAGAUCAGGGGGAAAAUGACCCUGAUGCGUCCGCUGGUGGACGACGUCAGAUGCGCGCUGAUGCCUUUCGAGCCGCCUGUUUUCGGUAUUCAAGCGAGCUACCUCAGCGGUAAUUUGAGCGUGCCAGGUCUCGAUCCUUGCGGCCUCCGCCUCAGCGUCCCGCUGAGCCUUUUCCACCUCUCUCUUAGCUUCAUCAGUUCCAUAUUUACCGCCUCCUGGUUUUCCGGUGUUAUGGGGGUCGCCAUGAGCCUUGUUAUUUCCGCGGCUAACUCCACCAAGAUCGCGGCCGGGCUUCUAGACGUUUCGCCAGUUCCAUCUCCGCCUGCUGGGUUUGGCGAGGGUUGAGUCGCCCCUGCCAUGUAAACGGCGAUCUGUCGGCGAGUCCGGUCAAGAACUUCGGGGUCCAUGGCCAGUGACAAGCCCCCAAGGCAGCCCCCGUGUAGAGACUGGAUUGAAUCUGAAUCGCCCAUGGACGAUUCGUCAUCAGUGAUGACCGGCGUGGUUUUCUAGGUCACUGAGUGUUCUGGUUCCUCAGAUCCUUGCGUGAACCCAACAAAUACCGGACGAGUUAGGUUUGGCGUCACGACAGGGCGGACGUACCUGGCCGGCUCGACGAUGUCGUAGGAGGUGUCCGGCUCAGGCAUGGGAGAUCCAACCAUGCCGAUGAAGACGAUGAUCUUGCCGAAGGGGACCGUGUAACCGGAUUCGAUCGAAUCGGCCUCGGGCCCCCAUAGCAAGUUGUUGAUGUAGUACUUCCCGCGGCGGCUCCGAGUCAUGAGCCCCGCUGCGUAGCUCCCAGACCCUGGUAGGGCUCCCUUUGAGAACUCAACUCCACCGUGCGCAGGCCCCACGGUGGGCGCCAACGGUCGUGGUUUUGUCAUGGGAGAUGUCCUCGUGAAAGGACUUAGUGUUGGAGCCAUCGCACCUUGGUGGCGACUCAAAGGGGUUGAACGGGAGCGAGACCGAGAUGUACCCAGGUUCGGCCCCUCGUGAGGAGGUAAAAGCCUACGUCUUGCUUUGUGUUGUAUUGAUGGUGUUUCGAUUACAAGGAGGGCGUAACUCGCCUGACCUAGCACUCGAUGAUUUCUAACUUGUCCUCUCUUUCCCUGGGACUCGCCUUUAUAUACAGGUUGAGUCCUUAUGGUUUACAAGGAUCCUUUCCUUUUCACAAAUCGUGACUCUUCCGAUCUCUAAGUCGCCAUCUUUCCAAGACUUGGAGACCUUCUCUACUAUGGACUCCUCCCGAAGGUCCUGAACCACCAUACGACUUCCGGCCUUACUGGGCCAAGGCCAAAACCACUUGGAGAUGAGUCGCCAGCUUUGGUGACCCGACCCAACUUGGGCGGGUUACCCAACGGAUAAUAUCCCCAACAGGGUCCAUGUAUGAGAACAAAGUAUGGACUUUGGUGGACUUGCCCGAUGACCGGCGAGCCAUAGAAAAUAAAUGGAUCUUCAAGAAGAAGACUGAUGCAAACGGUAAUGUAACCGUUUAUAAAGCUCGACUUGUCGCAAAGGGUUUUCGACAAAUUCAAGGAGUUGACUACGAAGAGACUUUCUCUCCCGUAGCGAAGCUGAAAUCAGUUCGUAUCAUGUUAGCGAUUGCCGCCUUUUAUGAUUAUGAAAUUUGGCAAAUGGACGUCAAAACAACGUUCCUUAACGGGAACCUUAAGGAAGAGUUGUAUAUGAUGCAACCAGAAGGUUUUGUCAACCCUAAGGGUGCUAACAAAGUGUGCAAGCUCCAACGCUCCAUCUAUGGGCUGGUGCAAGCAUCUCGGAGUUGGAACAUUUGCUUUAAUGAGGUGAUUAAAGCGUUUGGGUUCAUACAGGUUUACGGAGAAGCUUGUCUGUACAAGAAAGUGAGUGGGAGCUCUGUAGCUUUCCUCAUACUGUAUGUGGAUGACAUAUUAUUGAUGGGGAACAAUACAGAAAUGUUGGAGAGCAUAAAGGCCUAUUUGAACAAGAGUUUUUCAAUGAAGGACCUUGGAGAAGCUGCAUACAUAUUAGGCAUCAAGAUCUAUAGAGAUAGAUCGAGACGCCUCAUAGGUCUUCCGCAAAGUACAUACCUUGACAAGAUAUUGAAUAAGUUUAAUAUGGAAAACUCAAAGAAAGGGUUCUUGCCAGUUUUGCAAGGUAUGAGAUUGAGUAAGACUCAGUCGCCAACCACGGCAGCAGACAGAGAGAAGAUGAGUACUGUCCCCUAAUCUUCAGCCGUAGGCUCUCUAAUGUAUGCCAUGUUGUGUACCAGACCUAAUAUAAACCUUGCCAUAAGUUUGGUAGGGAGGUACCAUAGUGAUCCCGGUAUGGAACACUGGACAACGGUCAAAAAUAUCCUUAAGUACCUGAAAAGGACUAAGGGAAUGUUUCUCGUUUAUGGAGGUGAGGAAGAGCUCGUCGUAAAGGGUUACGUCGACGCUAGCUUCGACACAGAUCCGGAUGACUCUAAGUCACAGACCGGAUACGUAUAUGUUUUGAAUGGUGGGGCAGUGAGCUGGUGCAGUAGCAAGCAAGAAGUCGUGGCAGCAUCUACAUGUGAAGCAGAGUACAUAGCUGCUUCAGAAGCGGCUCAUGAAGGAAUUUGGAUGAAGGAGCUAAUCACCGACCUUGGAGUGGUUCCAAACGCAUCGGGUCCAAUGACAUUCUUCUGUGAUAACACUGGGGCCAUUGCCAUAGCCAAGGAGCCCAGGUUUCACCGGAAGACGAAGCACAUCAAACGCCGCUACAACUCCAUCCAGGACCAUGUCCAGAGUGGAGUGAUAUACAUUUGUAAAGUACACAUGGAUCUGAAUGUUGCAGACCCGUUGACUAAACCUCUUCCACGAGCAAAACAUGAUCAACACCAUAAUGCUAUGGGUGUUCGAUACAUCACAAUGUAACUAGAUUAUUGACUCUAGUGCAAGUGGGAUACUAUUGGAAACAUGCCCUAGAGGCAAUAAUAAAAUGGUUAUUAUCAUAUUUCCUUGUUCAUGAUAAUCGUCUACUGUUCAUGCUAUAAUUGUAUUAACAGGAAACAGUAAUACAUGUGUGAAUAAAUAGAUCACAAUGUGUCCCUAGCAAGCCUCUAGUUGGCUAGCUCGCUAGUCAAUAGAUGAUCAUGGUUUCCUGGUCAUGGUCAUUAGAUGUCAUUGAUAACGGGAUCACAUCAUUGGGAGAAUGAUGUGAUGGACAAGACCCAAUCCUAAGCGUAGCACUAGAUCGUAUUGUUCGUAUGUUAAAGCUUUUCUAAUGUCAAGUGUAUUUUCCUUCGACCGUGAGAUUGUGCAACUCCCGGAUACCGUAGGAGUGCUUUGGGUGUAUCAAACGUCACAACGUAACUGGGUGACUAUAAAGGUGCACUACGGGUACCUCCGAAAGUAUCUGUUGGGUUGGCACGAAUCGAGAUCGGGAUUUGUCACUCCGUGUGACGGAGAGGUAUCUCUGGGCCCACUCGGCAGAACAUCAUCAUGAGCUCAAUGUGACUAAGGAGUUAGUCACACGAUGACAUGCUACGGAACUAGUAAAUAGACUUACCGGUAACGAGAUUGAACAAGGUAUAGGUAUACCGACGAUCGAAUCUCGGGCAAGUUCUAUACCGACAGACAAAGGGAAUUGUAUACGGGAUUGAUUGAAUCCUUGACAUCGUGGUUCAUCCGAUGAGAUCAUCGUGGAGAAAGUGGGAGCCACCAUGGGUAUCUAGACCCCGUUGAUGGUUAUUGGCCGGAGAGGUGUCUCGGUCAUGUCUGCCUGUCUCCCGAACCCAUAGGGUCUACACACUUAAGGUUCGAUGACGCUAGGGUUAUAGGGAAUUGUUAUACGAGGUUACCGAAAGUUGUUCGAAGUCCUGGAUGAGAUCCCGGAUGUCACGAGGGGCUCCGGAAUGGUCCGGUGGUAAAGAUUCAUAUAUAGGAUGGAUGGGUUUGGAUGCCAGAAAUGUUUCGGGCACCACUGGCAAAGUGCCGGGACCACCGGAAGGGUUCCGGAGGACCACCGGGAGGGGCCACAAGCCCCGGAAUGCUACAUGGGCCAAGUGUGGGAGGAACCAGCCCCUAGGUGGGCUGGUGCGCCCCCCACACCCAGCCCAUGCGCACCAGAGAGGGAGGGAGGGGGAACCCUAGGCGUAGGGGAGGCCCAAGUCCCACGUAGGGCGCGCUCCCCCUUGCCCUCCCCUAGCCGCCGCCCCCCUCUCCCAUCUGGUGGCCGCCGGCCCCUAGGGAGGGAACCCUAGGGGUGGCGUAGCCCUCCCCCUCCUCCUAUAAAAAGAGAGGGGUUUUGGCCAUUGGGAGAUAGACUUUUCCCUCUCCCUCGACGCAGCCCUGCCCUUCUUUCUCCUCCUCUCUGCCGAUGCUGGGCGAAGCCCUGCCGGGAGACCUCGUCUCUCCAUCGACACCACGCCGUCGUGCUGCUGGAGUUCUUCCCCAACCUCUCCCUCCUCCUUGCUAGAUCAAGGUGAGGGAGACGUCACCGGGCUGCACGUGUGUUGAACGCGGAGGUGCCGUGGUUCGGCACUAGAUCGGAAUCACACCGCGAUGUGAAUCGCCGCAAGUACGACUCCAUCAACCGCGUUCUAGUAACGCUUCCGCUUAGCGAUCUUCAAAGGUAUGAAGAUGCUCUCACCCCUCUCUCGUUGCUGGUCUCUCCAUAGGAAGAUCUGAAUAUGCGUAGGAAUUUUUUUGAAUUUAUGUUAUGUUACCCAACAGGAGUGACAAUAACCGGAACCACUCCCGGUGAUGACCAUAGUUUGAGGAGUUCAUGUGUUCACCAAGUGCUAAUGCGUUGGUCCGGUUAUUUAUUAAAAGGAGAACCUUAAUAUCCCGUAGUUUCCUUUUGGACCCCACUGCCACGGGAAGGAUGGACAAUAGAUGUCAUGCAAGUUCUUUUCCCUAAGCACGUAUGACGACACACGGAAUGCAUGCCUACAUCACAUUGACGAAUGGGCGCUAGCCACAUAUCUCUCCGUGUUAUAGUUGUUGCAUGGUGAAUAUCAUUCAAACAAAUCACCGACCCAAUGCCUACGAGGUUGUCCUACUGUUGCUACUGCCGUUACUUGUCUGGCUCUGCUGCUACUACUGUUGCUACUGCUGCUACUUGUCUUGCUCUGCUGCUGCUGCUACUACUGUUGCUACUGUUGUUACUUGUUUUGCUCUGCUGCUACUGUUGCUACUACUGUCGCUUGCUACUGUUGCUACUUGCUACUGCUGUCACUAUUGUUGUUCCUUGCCACUGCUAUUGCUCGUUACACUGCCGAUACCCGUUACUUCGCUGUUACUACUUCACUGUUACUAUUGUGCUUGCAGAUCCUAAUCUUUCAGGUGUGGUUGAAUCUGACAAAUUCAGCUGCUAAUACUUGAGAGUAUACUCUCACCUCCUGUCUGGCGUACCUACAAAUUUGGGUCGAAUACUCUACCCUCGAAAACUGUUGCGAACCCACGCGUUGGUGGGCCAUCAACAACAUUCUUCCAGUUUCAUUGCCAGGGAGUGCUAUCAGCAUUCUUCUGGUGCCGUUGCAGGAGAAGGUUAGUUGUUAUAAGCAUUCGCCUAGCUAACACUAGAGAUUGCAGGAUCAUCACUUUUCUGGAGCCAUUGCCAGAGAACCACAGCUGACGUCAGCAUUUUUCUGGCGCCGUUGCCGGGGAGGUAUUGCUAUAUUCUCUGAGUUACUUGGGAUUUAUAUCUGCAGAUCUCUAUGAAGAAUCUGAAGGAUCCAAAGACCAAAGUCUUGCCCUCAACUACGAGGGGAGGUAAGGAAUUGCCAUCUAGCUCUGCACUUGAUUCACCUUCGGUUAUGAGUAAGUUUGCAACAUCACCUCCUGCUAGAAAUCUUGAUAUGUCGCCUGUGCUUGAUGAUGCUUGUGAUACUACUGCUAGAGAUGCUAUGCUUGAUACUAUGCCUGAUGAUGCUAUGCUUGAUACUGCUAGAGAUGCUAUGCUUGAUACUGCUAGAGAUGCUAUGCUUGAUACUGCUUUGCUUGAUGAUGCUAGAGAUGCUAUUAUGCCUAAUGAUGCUAUGCUUGGUACUGCUAGAGAUACUCCUUUGCCUGAUGUUCCACUGGGAGCGUUCCUUGAUGCUCAUAUUUCUAGAGUUACUGCCACUGCUCGUGAUGCUUCUGAUACUGCCGAUACUAUUGAGAUAGAACAUGUUUUUGCUCCUGUUAGACCUAGCUCUCCUAGAUAUGAAUUGCCUGUUAUACGUGAGGGUUACGUUAUGGAGGGAGAGAUAGCUGAGGAUUUUCUUGCGUGUAAGGAUGCCUAUGACACUGAGAAAUUAGUUCUCAAGUGGAAGGAAAAAUCUCGGGAAGUUAGGAUGAAAAAUGAUCCAAAGUUUGCCACUUCGCCUAUCUUUGUCACCGAUAAGGAUUAUGAAUUCUCUGUCGACCCUGAGAUAAUCUCUCUAGUCGAAUCUGAUCCUUUUCACGGUUAUGAGUCUGAGACAGUCAUAGCCCAUCUUGCCAAACUAUCCGAAAUAGCCAACCUUUUUCACUAAUGAGGAGAAGAUCCGCCACUACUAUAUCCUUAAGUUGUUUCCUUUCUCUCUAAAGGAUGAUGCUAAAGCCUAGUUCACCUCUCUUGCUCCUGGAUGUGUGCGUAGUCCCCAGGAGAUGGUCUAUUACUUCUGUGAGAAAUAUUUCCCUGUCCAUAAGAAGCAAGCUGCCUUGCAGGAAAUAUACAACUUUGCUCAACUCCAAGAAGAGACUCUUCCACAAGCUUGGGGGAGGCUCGUCCAGCUACAAAAUGCUUUGCCUGAUCACCCUCUUAAGAAGAACUAGAUACUUGAUAUCCUCUAUAACGGACUUACCAAUGCCUCUAGAGACUACCUAGAUAGUUGUGUCGGUUGUGUUUUUAGGGAACUAACUGUAGAACAAGCUGAGACUCUGCUGAAUAAUCUUUUGAUCAACGAUAAUGCUUGGACUAUUCCCGAACCACCUCCUAAGCCAACUCCUAAGAAAAGAGGUAUUCUAUUCCUCAGUGCUAAAGAUAUGCAAGAAGCCAAGAAAUCUAUGCAAGAGAAAGGCAUUAGAUCUGAAGAUGUCAAAAAUCUACCACCUAUCGAAGAGAUCCACGGUCUCGAUAACCCGGUACAGGUAGUAGAAGUGAAUUCUCUGCGUAGGUUUGAUGAGAGUGAUAUUCCUUUUGAUAAACCUGCUAGCCUAUGCUUUGAUGAAUUUGACAACUUUGUUGCCAAACAACAGAGUUUCAAUGACUAUGUUAGCAGACAUUUGGAACAAAGUGCUCGUAUGCUUAGCCAUUUAAGUGCUUGUGUAGACAGAAACGUCAAUGCUCUAAAGCUUCUGAGUAAACAUGCCUCUAUGAUUACUACUCAGGUAGAAAAAGUACUUAAAGCUGAGAAUGACCUGCUCAAUGAAUUAAAUGACAACUCUGUGAGAGUCAUUACUAGAGGAGGCAAAAUGACUCGGGAACCUUUGUAUCCUAAAGGUCAUCCUAAGAGAAUUGAUCAAGAUUCUCAAGGAAUCAAUGCUGAUACACCUAGUCAUCCUAAGGAGAAGAAGAAGGAUGAUAGAAACCUGCACGCCAGUUCACCAAAUACUAUCACAGCUGAAGAACCUAAUGAUAUUUAUGCGUCUGAUGGAGAAACACAAUCAGGUGAUGAACAUGAACCUGGUGACAAUGUGGACAGUGAUGUUCAUAAUAAUGAUCAACCUAGCCAUGAUGAGGAUGUGGAGAUUGAACCUACGGUUAAUCCUGAUAAGCCACGACCUAAGAAGUACGAUAAGAAUGACUUCACUGCUAGGAAGCAUGGUAAAGAAAGAGAGCCAUGGGUUCAGAGACCUAUGCCCUUUCCUCCUAAGCCAUCCAAGAAAAAGGAUGAUGAGGAUUUUAAGCGCUUCGUUGAGAUGAUAAGACCCGUCUUUCUGCAGAUGCGGUUAACUGAUAUGCUCAAGAUGUCUCCGUAUGCCAAGUACAUGAAAGAUAUCGUGACUAAUAAACGGAAGAUACCAGAUCUUGAGAUAUCCACCAUGCUUGCCAAUUACACUUUCAAGGGUGAAACUCCUAAGAAACUUGGUGAUCCCAGAGUGCCCACAAACCUUUCUCUAUUAAAGGAAACUACAUAACAACUGCCUUAUGUGACCUUGGAGUCGGUGUUAGUGUUAUGACGCUUUCUCUUUAUCGUAGACUUGAGUUGGAUAAGUUGACACCCACUGAAAUUUCUCUGCAAAUGGCCGACAAAUCAACUGCUUUCUGUAUCGGCAUUUGCGAGGAUGUGCCUGUUGUGGUUGCUAAUACCACUAUCUUAACAGACUUUGUUAUCUUGGAUAUUCCCGAGGACGAUGCCAUGGCUAUCAUCCUCAGAAGACCCUUUUUAAACACUGCAGGGGCUGUUAUAGAUUGCAACAAAGGCAAUGUCACUUUCCAUGUCAAUGGUAAUGAGCACACACUGCACUUUCUAAAGAAACGAUAUCCAAUACAUUGCAUCAAUGCUAUCGAAAAGACUUCAUCGAUUCUCAUUGGGAGCUUUGAAUGCCCUAUUCCUCGUGUCAAGAUGAAGUAUGAUUUGCUUGUUGGGGAGAUUCAUAUCCCCAUUGAGGUGACUUAGUGGCUAUUCGAAAAUUCUCCAUUCUCUCUUGUGAUUCGAGAAGGUUUUGUCUUAAGGACUUGAUCAAUCCCAUUGACGGAUUUCUUUCGAUGACCAUGAAACGGAUGAAUCAGAGAGUCACAUACCUCUGUUUUGAGUCUUCAUUUUCUGUUGCUUAGAAGAAAAAUGAUGGAAUUAGUUUAGCUUUUCUUGUUUUCUGUUUUAGCGUCCCGGAGAAAAAUACCUCAAAAAUAAAAGUUCUCCGAUGGUCCUGAAAAUUUAGUAUGAUUUUUUCUGGAAUUUUUGAAAUUUUUUGGGCCUGAGAGCUGGUCAGGGGUCCUGACCAGUGGACCACAAGCCCCCCACCGCCACCUACCCCCCUGGUGGUGGGGUGCAAGCAUGUGGGGCCCACAGGCACCCUCUCGACUCAUUCCAGCUCCCAACCUCUUCUUCCACCUCCAGAAAAAAUUGUUUCGCAGCUCAAACCCGUGUUCUUGCUAUUUUGGAUCUCCUUGCUCAAAGCACCAUUUCCGAACCGUUUUGGGGAAAUUACUCCUUGGUAAGUGACUCCUCCAUUGGUCCAAUUAGUUUUUGCUCUAGUGCUUUAUCCUUCGCGUAUUCUUGCUACCUUGGUGAGCUUGUUCUUGAGCUAGAAAUGUUGAUUUUAGUUGGUCCCAAGUAGUUUUAGCGCGUGAUACGGUCUCUAGACACUAGUAGGAGUAGUUGCUACAAGGUGUGGUUGGUCCUCAUUCACUUUUCUCUUGAACUUCAAAAAAUUCAGCAUAAGGAAAUUAUGUUCAGGAAGAAGUUUCGUGGUGGUUCCUCAAGUAAGAAGGGUCCUCGUCUCUCCUUUCGGGAGCCCGAACCUUUUCAACUAAGGGACGCACCGGUGCAACCAUGUGAAUGGCCUUCCGAUGAGUUCAUGAUCGAAGCAGGCUUCAAGGAUGAGUUUGAUGCACUUGUCCGCAAUGCUGGGUUAAAAGAAUUCCUCUCAGAUAAAUGUGAACAGUAUGCUAUGCUCACUGCCUCUUUCGUGCGUAGAUUUAAAUUUUUAACUGGGCAUGAAUCAUCCAUACUGUUUGAUUUGUACGAUAAAUCCUAUACCGUGGGUCUGGAGGAUUUCAAUAGGAUUUGCAAGAUUCCCGAUGGAGGUAGUGUUAUUGAUCCUCCAAAGUCUUCGGUCAAAGACUUGUCUCCAGUAUUAUUGUUGGAGAAACCAGAGAUAUCACGCAAGCCACCAUAGGAAGCAUCCAUUUCCCUGCCUUGCACUACCUUGCCCUCUUCAUAGGUAGGUGCAUUAACGGCAAGGGUGCACAUUGUCACCUAUGCGCUUCCGACCUUAGUAUCCUUAAGAGCACAGUAACAGGUGACAGGAGCUUCAAUAUUGGAGCUAUUAUAGCAAGGAGGCUGAAUAAACAUGCCAGUGAGGGGGAUUUCCUUGGCGGAGUUUAUGCUACACGCUUAGCAAAUUUUCUUGGAGUAUCCAUCCGUCCAAAAGACCCCCCUCUCCGUACAGCCUACCUUGAUCGUGUCGCUCUAACACGCUACCAGUUCCUUGAGAGAGAUCAUGGAUCUCUUCUAUACCGCUUGAUAUUUAACCGGCAGCGUGUUUUCCAUAUUACCCUUCCUGCUCCUGCUUUCUUUGACUUUCAGGUUAAACGAAGAUACUACAUAACCAUAGGAGAAGCAGAGGAGUAUGAGAGGGAGGCGCCGGCUGCUCGACUCCGCGAGACAGCUAUUCAGGCAGUGGCUGCAGCACUCCCGUAUAACACUCAUUAUGACUUUGGGUUUCGCCAGGAUCAUCCAUGGGAGUAGACCAAGCUUGGACAAAAGCCUAAGCUUGGGGGAGUACGUGUUCUCACCGACUUUACAUUCAUGCUUAUGCUUUCACUUUGUUAGCCGGUGUUUACACUUUGCCACUGUAAUAUCCAUGCUAGUUUCUUCUUGUUUUCUUGUUUUCUUGUUUUCUUGUUUUGUGUCCUUUUGAGAAAACCCAAAAAGAUUUUUCUUUCUUCUUUUGCUUGUUGGGAGCUUUCCCAUGUAAAUAGUUUUAUUUUUCUUUGGGUCAAGGUAGAAGAUAUUGGUUACAAUGUUUAUUGGUUCUUGCAUGCUUACCUAUUUAGCUUUCAAAGAGCCAUAUUACUUUGUCUUCUCCUUUGUGUUUGCCUGUAGAUUCAGCUUAGUCCAAUGCGCUUAUUAUCAUUUUCAUCGUUCGAUCGUGCAAAUGAAAGGCAACAAUGAUGAUAUAUGAUGAAGUGACUGAGACUGAAAAGCUGGAAAGAACUCUAUCUAUUUUGUUUUGUAAAUAUGACUAGCUUGUCAACCCAGAUUUAGCUUUGUUGUGAGAGAACCAUGUUUGCAAUGACAACUUAGAGAUCAUAGUUUCUGAUGCCAUGCUUAUUUAGCUGAGAGCUUAUAAUGGUUUGUCUUGAUUGCCAACAUAGAUUUUGAGAUGACUAUGAUGUAGUAUGAUAGGAUGGUAUUCUCCUUUGAAUGUUUCAAGUGGCUUGACUUGGCGCAAGUUCAUGCAUGUAGUUGAAACAAAAUCAACAUAGCCUCUUUGAUGUUUGUGUUCAUGGUGAUUUAUAUCCUGUUCAUGCUUGCAUUUAAUGUUAGUCAAACUCAUUGCAUCUUGAUGACUGUUGUCGCCCUCUAGUUGGUCGCUUCCCAGUCUUUUGCUAGCCUUCACUUGUACUAAGCGGGAAUGGUGCUUGUGCAUCCACUUCCAUAAACCCAAAAGUGUUUCCAUGAGAGUCCACCAUACCUACCUAUUUGCGGUAUCUACGUGCCGUUCCAAGUAAAUUUGUAUGUGCCAUUCUCUAAACCUUCAAGAAAUAAUCUGUUUUGCAUGCCCGAACCGCUCAUGUGGUGACAGAGGGCUAUUGGUAUCUUCCAUGCUAGGAGUGUUAUCCUCGACAUGUGUUUAUUCACAGUCCUUCACGAGAAAGGGGCCGGUAUUUGGGAUGCCAGGUUCCAUGCUUAAAUCGAAGACAUAACUGUAAAACAAGACUCCCCCAGGAUUGAUGUUAGUAUGGAUAGUACGCGAGGAUUCGGCUAGCCAUGGAGUGUGAUAGAUUGGUGGUUGGGGGAGUUAAAACUUUACUUUUCUGUUUGGGAACUGCCUAUAGCAUGAGUAGCAUGGAAGAUAUUGAGAACUCUUGGUCAUUGUGUUGACAAAGAAAGCAUGCCACCCAAAAUUAUUAUCUCUGUUUUCAAAGCUUGAGCUCUGUCACCUCUGCAAAUCAAUGCUUCCCUCUGCAAAGGGCCUGUCUAUUUAUUUUCCUGUCGAAUCAUCCUCCUCUUAUAUAAGCACCAAUUAGAGAGCACCUCUGUCAUUUUAUGCUUUGCUUUUGAUUGAUAUUGAGUAUGACUAUGACUGGAUCUUCGUUGCUAUGAAUUACAAUGUUUAGUCAGCCCUUUAUCUUUGAAAGUGCUCUGCAUUUAUGUUUUGGGUAUCAGAAAGAGCUAGCGAGAUAGCACCUAUUCAUAUUGCUUCAUGCUUGUUUUGAUUGAAGUGUUGGUAUUUGAAACUCAUUAUUAUUUGCUCGUUAGCUGAUUAUGCCAUUGAUAUUAGUUUAUCGUGAGACCUUUGUGUCAUUUGCUUAUGUGGUUAACUUGUGAUCUUGCUGAAAUUCUGGUUAUGAGUUAGACAUAGUUGCAACAACAAGAUCAAAUAGAGUUUGUCAAAGUUUUUCUUUCUCUCUCAGUUUGUCAACUGAGUUGCUUGAGGACAAGCAAGGUUUUAAGCUUGGGGGAGUUGAUACGUCUGCAACGUAUCUACUUUUCCAAACUCUUUUGCCCUUGUUUUGAACUAUAAUUUGCAUGAUUUGAAUGGAACUAACCUGGACUGACGUUGUUUUCAGCAGAAUUGCAUUGGUGUUAUUUUUGUGCAGAAAUCAAAGUUCUCCAAACGUCCUGAAAAUUUACGGAGAGCAGUUUUGGAAAAUAACAAAAAUACCUGCGCCAGAAUCCACUUGAGGGGGUGGGCCAGUGGGCCACAAGCCCCUCCUCCGCCACCACCCCCCUGGUGGCGGUGGGCAAGCUUGUGGGGCCCAUAGGCCUCUGCCGCCCCCAACUCCAACUCUAUAAGUUGUCUUUCGUCCCAGAAAAAAUAAAAAGAGAAGUUUUCGUCGCGUUUUCGAUACGGAGGCGCCACCACCACCUGUUCUUCAUCUGGAGGGCAGAUCUGGAGUCCGUCUUGGGCUCGAGAGAGGGGAAAUCGUCGCCAUCGUCAUCAUCAACCUUCUUCCGUCUCCAAUUCCAUGAAGCUCUUCGUCGUUCGUGAGUAAUCUAUUCGUAGGCUCGCUGGGCGGUGAUGAGUAGGAUGAGAUCUAUCAUGUAAUCGAAUUAGUUUUCAUGGGGAUUGAUCCCUAGUAUCCACUAUGUUCUGAGAUUUGAUGUUGCUACUACUUUGCCAAGCUUAAUGCUUGUCACUAGGGCCCGAGUGCCAUGAUUUCAGAUCUGAAAUUAUUAUGUUGUCACCAAUAUAUGUGUGUUUUAGAUCCGAUCUUGCAAGUUGUAGUUAUCUACUAUGUGUUAUGAUCUAGCAACCCCGGAGUGACAAUAACUGGAACCACUCCCGGUGAUGACCAUAGUUUGAGGAGUUCAUGUGUUCACCAAGUGCUAAUGUGUUGGUCCGGUUCUUUAUUAAAAGGAGAACCUUAAUAUCCUGUAGUUUCCUUUUGGACCCCGCUGCCACGAGAGGCAUGGACAAUAGGGUUCAUGCAAGUUCUUUUCCCUAAGCACGUAUGACGACACACGGAAUGCUUUCCUACAUCACAUUGAUGAACGGGAGCUAGCCACAUAUCUCUCCGUGUUAUAGCUGUUGCAUGAUGAAUAUCAUCCAAACAAAUCACCGACCCAAUGCCUACGAGGUUGUCCUACUGUUGCUACUGCCGUUACUUGUCUUGCUCUGCUGCUACUACUGUUGCUACUUAUGUUACUUGUCUUGCUCUGCUGCUGCUACUACUACUGUUGCUACUGUUGUUACUUGUUUUGCUCUACUGCUACUGUUGCUACUACUGUCGCUUGCUACUGUUGCUACUUGCUACUGCUGUCACUACUGUUGUUCCUUGCCACUGCUAUUGCUCGUUACACUGCCGAUACCCGUUACUUCGCUGUUACUACUUCGUUGUUACUAUUAUGCUUGCAGAUAAUAAUCUUUUAGGUGUGGUUGAAUCUGACAAAUUCAGCUGCUAAUACUUGAGAGUAUACUCUCACCUCCUGUCUGGCGUACCUACAAAUUUGGGUCGAAUACUCUACCCUCAAAAACUGCUGCGAACACACGCGCUGGUGGGCCAUCAACAACAUUCUUCCAGUUUCAUUGCCGGGGAGUGCUAUCAGCAUUCUUCUGGUGUCGUUGCAGGAGAAGGUUAGUUGUUAUAAGCAUUCGUCUAGCUAACACUAGAGAUUGCAAGAUCAGCACUUUUCUGGAGCCAUUGCCAAGGAAGCACAACUGACGUCAGGGGCCAGUCUAGAUCCCACCAGAGGUAACGACCGCCGGUGAGUGUGUCAGGGGCGUUACAACAUCCCCAUGGGAUUUUUGUACGCAGUUCUAUACGCCCACAAGGCAUCUCCUAACUUCUUGGACCAGUCCUUUCUAGAAUUGUUCACUGUCUUUUGCAAGAUCAACUUGAUCUCUCUAUUUGUGAGUUCAACUUGCCCACUUGUUUGAGGGAGGUAAGGUGAAUGAAUUAUAUGAUUAAAAUCAUAUUUGGCUAGAGCUUUUCUAAAAGCACCAUGUGUAAAGUGCGAUCCUCCGUCGGUCAUGAGGUACCUAGGUACACCAAACCUAGGGAAGAUUACAUCCUUGAGCAUUUUCAAAGAUGUCUUGUGAUGAGCACUUCCAGUGGGGAUUGCCUCAACCCACUUGGUCACAUAAUCAACAGCCACUAAGAUGUGAGUGUAUUUGUGUGAAGGAGGAAAAGGACCCAUAAAAUCAAAACCCCAGCAAUCAAAGGGCUCAAUGACUAGAGAAUAAUUCAUAGGCAUCUCAUUUCUCCUACUAAUAUUACCAACUCUCUGGCACUUAUCACAGGAUAAAACAUAAUUUCUAGCGUCUUUAAAGAGAGUAGGCCAAUAAAACCUGACUGGAGAACCUUGUGUGCGAUCCUUUCACCGGCAUGAUGUCCUCCAUAAGGACUGUUAUGACAUUGUCUCAAGAUAUCCUUCUGCUCAUGCUCCAGUAUGCAUCUCCUCACGAUCCCGUCCUCACCUUCUCUAGAAAUAUGUGGAUCAUCCCAAAAGUAAUGCCUCAAGUCAUGGAAGAACUUCUUCCUCUCCUGGAAUGUUAAACCCGGAGGCAAAAACUUUGCAACGAUAAAGUUAGCAUAAUCUGCAUACCAAGGAUCGGAAUUAGAUUGUACUUUCAAAACAGCUAACUGUUCAUCGGGAAAACUAUCAUUGACCGGAAUAGGAUCAUGUGAUAUGUCCUUCAUCCUGGAAAGGUUUACUGCUACAGGGUUGUGUGCUCCCUUCCUAUCAACAAUCUGCAAAUCAAAUUCUUGAAGAAGAAGGACCCAUCUGAUAAGCCUGGGUUUGGCAUACUUCUUUUCCAUAAGAUACUUAAUAGCAGCAUGAUCAGUAUGAAUGCUGACUUUUGAAUCAACAAUGUAAGGCAUCAACUUAUCACAGGCAAACACUACCGCUAAAAACUAUUUUUCAGUAGGAGCAUAAUUCUUUUGAGCACUAUCAAGGGUUUUGCUAGCAUAAUGUAUAACAGUCAAUUUCUUAUCAACCCUUUGUCCUAACACAGCUCCAACAGCAAAAUCACUAGCAUCACACAUGAUUUCAAAAGGCAAAUUCGAAUCAAGUGGAUGGACUAUAGGGGCGGUUAUCAAGGCUUUCUUAAGAACUUCGAAGGCUUCCUUACAAUCUUCAUCAAACACAAAAAGAAUAAAAUUCUGGAGAAAAUUAGUGAGGGGUCUCGAAGUCUUAGAAAAGUCUUUAAUAAAUCUUCUAUAGAAACCAGCAUGACCGAGGAAACUACGAAUACAUCUGAUGUUUUUUGGAUAAGGCAUCCUCUCAAUUGCUUCGACCUUUGCCCUAUCCACCUCAAUUCCCUUUUCAGAAAUCUUGUGGCCAAGAACAAUUCCCUCAUUGACCAUGAAGUGGCACUUCUCCCAGUCUCCUCACAUCUCUGCAAAACUUUAUUAAGGUCGUGGACACAAUGGUCAAAAGAGGUUUCAUAGACGGAGAAAUCGUCGAUGAAGACCUCCACAAUUUCCUCACAAAAACCAUGAAAGAUAGCAGACAUACACCUUUGAAAAGUAGAAGGAGCAUUGCAUAAACCAAAAGGCAUACGUCUAUAAGCAUAAGUACCAAAAGGACAAGUCAAAGUGGUUUUCUCUUGAUCGGCAGUGUUAACAUGAAUUUGAGAGAAGCCAGAAUACCGAUGAAGAUAGCAAAAUUAAGUGUUUUUGGAUAACCUUUCAAGCAUUUGGUCGAUGAAAGGCAGCGGGUAGUGGUCCUUCCUGGUUGCCUUGUUCAGCUUCCUGUAAUCAAUACACAUUCUAUAUCCAAUAAUAAUUAUUUGAGGUAUUAGUUCGUUCUUAUCAUUGGGAACCACAGUCGUACCUCCUUUCUUGGGAACACAAUGUACCAGACUUAUCCACUUACUAUCAGCUAUAGGGUAGAUAAUACCUGCCGCUAGAAGCUUGAGGAUUUCGGUCCUCACAACAUCCUCCAUCUUUGGGUUCAACCGUCGUUGAUGAUCAACAACCGGUUUAGCAUCAGGUUCAAGAUUGAUAGUAUGCUGAAAAAUAGAUGGACUAAUCCCUUUAAGAUCAUCAAGGGUAUAGCCAAUAGUGCCUCAGUGUUUACGAAGGACUUCCAAUAAUCUCUCUUCUUCAUAUCCUGAAAGGUUAGAAUUGUUAAUAAUAGGGUAUACUUUUUGUUCAUCUAAAUAAGCAUACUUGAGUGUGCUGGGAAGAGGUUUAAGAUCAAACACCAUGUCUUCUUUUGGUUUCAAUAAAUUCCCAAAGGCUAAACUGGAAGGUUGUGCUUCAACAUAGCAGGUUGCCUCAAAAAUAUGUCAUCUAGCUCAUUCCUUUCCUGCAUAUGCAAAUCAUUCUCGUGGUCCUCCAUAAAUUGCUGCAAAGGAUCGUUAGGAGGAAUAGCAAUAGAAGCAAUCUCUUCAAUAAUUUUAUCAUUACUAGGCAAAGGAGUACCACGAGUUUGCUUCGAGAAUUUUGAAAACUUAAAUUCAUUUGGCUCACCAUUAAAUUUAACAGAUACUUUUCCUUUCCUGCAAUCUAUAAUAGCUCCACAAGUUUUGAGAAAAGGCCUACCGAAGAUAAUAGGGCAAAAAAUAUCUUGCACUGAACCAAGUAGUAGAAAGUCGGUAGGAUAUUUUACCUUUCCACAAAGGACUUCAACAUCUUGCACAAUUCCAAUAGGAGAGAUAGUUUCUUUCUUUGCAAGAUGAAUAGUAACAUCAAUGUCUUCAAUUUCAAAUGAUAGAAUCUCAUUCAUGAUCUCUUGAUAAAGUGAAAAAGGAAUAGCACUAGCAUUGGACCCCAAAUCACAUAGCCCGUAAUAAUUAUGAUCUCCUAUUUUAACAGAUACAACUAGAGUACCUGAAAUUGGGCCUUUAUUCUUGGCAGUAACGAGGUUAGUAGAAACAACACAAAAAUUUAUAUUGGAAUCCUCAAUAUUACUAGUAACAAGAUCCUUGACUGAUGCAACUUGAGGAUCGACCUUAAUCAGGUCCUCAUGUUCAUGAGUCAUUCUUUCACUUUUAUUCAGUAUGUCUGUGACAAAAUAAUGCUCCCUCGUCCUUGUGGGAAAAGGGCACUUUUCAUAUAAAACUCCAGGUAAGAUAGGGUCAACAACAUUGAUAUCAUUAGGUAAAUCCUUAAAAGGAUUAUGGUGUUGAUCCUCCCUCUUCUUAGAAGAGUCAAUAUGAGAGGCAAAGUCUUUGCAAAAAUCAAUUAGAAGCUGGGAAUCAAGAACAAUCUUAGCACACAAGGUAUUGAAGUAAUCAGUUUCCACAUAGCUCUCAAUGUAAUCAUGCUCAUAAUUUAUAACGGGUUCAAUACCUUUAUCUGGAUCCUUUCAAUAAGAUCCCACUUAGCUUCAUUGCUUUUGUUGGAGAAUGCCCCACUAGAGGAAGCAUCAAGCAUCUCUUUAUCUUGACGAGAAAGCCUUGCAUAAUAAUUUGUAAGAAUAAUUUCCUUGGAGAGCUCAUGAUUGGGACAUUUGAGCAUUAGGGCCUACAAUCUCCCCCAAGCUUGAGCGAUGCUUUAUCUGUCACGAGACCAAAAAUUAUAAAUAUAGUUCAUGUCUCGAUGUAUUUCAUGAAGAGUAUACAACUUUGCAUAAAAGAGAGGCAUAAGAUCUUGCCAAUUUAGUAAAUGAGAGUUAUCAAGAAGACUAUACCAAUCCAAAGCCUUAUCUUUUAAUGAUAGAGAGAAUAGCUUUCUCAUAACAAAAUCCAUCGAUAUACGUGCAAGCUUAAACAAGGAGCAUAGUUGUGAAAGAUAUAGCAAGUGUUCACCUCGAUGUCUAUCUCCUGCAUAUCGAUUAGCCAAGACACAAUCAAUAAUACUAGUUGGUAUUUUAAAGGGCUCAAUUUUAGUAGGUGGGGGAGGCUUCUCCACCACAAUAGCAUUGGGGCGGUUCCCCACAAGCAACAAAUCAAGAGGAGAGUUGUCCAUAUGGACAAAAAGUGGAAACAGCAAAAUAAAAACAACACGUACAUCAUAAAGGCUUCCUUACCAAUUUCACUUACCAAUAGCGCUACACUCCCCGGCAACUGCGCCGGAAAAUGGUCUUGAUGAACCACAAGUGUAUGGUAUCUAUCGUAGCCUUUUUGAUAAGUAAGAGUGUCGAACCCAACGAGGAGCAGAAGGUAUUGACAAGCGACCUUGAGUAAGGAAUAACUGCAAGUACUGAAAGGUAACUUUUUAUGGGUUUUCUGGUAUAAGCAACAAGGAAAUAAAUGCAAGGGAAGUAAAUUGUGCCGAGGUGCAGCAAGUGGCCCAAUACUUUUGAACACAAAGGAUAAGCCGAGUGACUAAGCUUAUAAAGACUAAGGCAUUCCUGAGGACACACUUGAGAGAUAGUCAAGUACUUUCGCCAUAUUCUGUCUAGUACUAUGUUUUGUAUUGAUAAGUGUUAUGUGGGUGAAUCUUAGCUAGUGCGUCAUCUAGGCUAAGACAAGUACACUCUUAUGAUUAAUCUCUCUUGCAAGCAUCCGCAAAUACAAGAUAGAAAUUAAGGCAAAGCCUAACCAUAGCAAUAAGCUUUAGGAUCCAAUGCUCCCUCGCGCAAAAGUAUGCGAAGUGGGGUUCAGGUUUCUGUCACUCCGGCAACCCACCACAAGCAUUCUUUAUACACGAUGCAUUCCUCUAGGUCCUUAAAAAGGCGGAGUGUUAGGUAGUCGACGUUCACAUAACACCACUAGAAGAAUAACACCAUAACUUAAAUAUAAAUCAACACAUAUUACUUCAACAUCAUAUGACUACUAACAACUAGACUUCUCCCAUGCCCUCAAGAAAUAAAGGAACUACUCACGAGACAUGGAAGAUAUCAUGAUCAGAGGUGAUCAAAAUAUGAUAAACAAUCUGGUCAUAACAAUAAUUCUCCAGCAAAACUCAAUAGCAUUCACCACAAAAGAGUUAUCAACACCGGUAGAGUAGAGGGGAUGAAUAGUGCAUGGUACAACUCCGAUUGCGAUGGUAAAGUAAGAUGGGGUGAAGAUGGGGAUGGUGCUGGUGUUGAGGGUGAUGGUGAUGAUGAUCGCGAUGAUGCCCGUGACGAUGGUGAUGGCGAUGAUGACGAUCUCCCCCUCCGGGAGGAGUUCUCCCCGGCGGAAUCUGCCCACCGGAAAGGUCUUUUCUUCUCUGUAGGUUUCCGCCCUGGAGCAGCGGCGGAACUCCGGAAAAACUUCUACCCCCUUAACUUUUAGGUCACGAGGAUCAUAUAGGCCAAAGGAGAGCACCGGAGGCGGGACCCACCACCCAGGCGGCCUCUGGGCGUAACCUAGGGGUGGCCCGUGCCGGCAGAUCACCUGGGUGCCAUGUGGCCCCCCUCCGGCGUUUCUCCGGCAUGUCUUCGUGAUCUAUUCGGAAACUCCUUACCCCAAAUUUUAUGAGUAGUUGGAGAUGUUCUGAUAUGGUAACUCUUCGUGCUAUUUUCUCCGCUAAAUCCUGCGUGUGCUGUUUCGGCACCGGAAAGUUGUAAACUGUGUAAAAUAAGCCAAAACACAAUAAGUACAUCAUCAUCAUGUGAAAUAUAUCAAUGAAUAGAGACAAAUUAUGAUACAAUAUAGUGAUGCAUUUUGGACGUAUUGGCAUCAGAGAUCGAGUUUGAGUCACUAUACCCUUCAAGUACCUUUGGGUACUAAGUACAGUGAAUACCAUAACUCGUAGUACCUUUCAUAUAACGCAUAACUCUCUCUAGAGCUUUCCAAUGAACAUGUGCUGGUUUUGAGACAAACUGGCUCAGUUCGCUAACAACUAAGUAGAUGUGAGGUAUCGUAGCUCUGGCUAAAUACAUAACUAAGCCAAUAAUCUGAGAGUAUUUCAAUUGUUCUCUCGUAAUUCUUCGAUCCUUUCGAAGCAACAUGCUAGCAUCAUAUGGUGUUGGAGAGUGCUUGCAGUCCCUACAACCAAAGCGACUCAAGAUCUUUUCCACAUAGUGAGAUUGAAGCAAUGUAAUCCUGCUACCUCUUGAGCUUGCGUUGGAUUUUUCCCUUGAAGAGGAAAGGGUGAUGCAGCACAGUAGCAGUAUAGAUUUCCCUCAGUUUGAGAACCAAGGUAUCAAUCCAGUAGGAGUAUCAAGAUGAAGCACCGAUGUACCUGCGCAAAAAUAGCAAACUUGCACCCCAACGUUACAAAGGGGUUGUCAAUCCCUUCACAAUUGAUUGCAAGGUGAGAUCUGAAGGCGGAAAGUGCAACAAAGUAAAAGUGUAAGGCGGAAAAUAUGAUGUGAAGUAGACCCGAGGGCCAUAGUGUUCACUAGAGGCUUCUCUCAAAAUAGCAAAUAUUACGCUGGGUGAACGAAUUACUGUCGAGCAAUUGAUAGAACCGUGCAAAGUCAUGACGAUUUCUAAGGCAAUGAUCAUACAUAUAGGUAUCACGUCCGAGACAAGUAGAUCGAUACUUUCUGCAUCUACUACUAUUACUGCACACAUCGACCGCUAUCCAGCAUGCAUCUAGUGUAUUGAGUUCAUGACAAACAGAGUAACGCCUUAAGAAAGAUGACAUGAUGUAGAGGGAUAAAUUCAUGCAAUAGAUAUAAACCCCAUCUUUUUACCCUUGAUGGCAACAACAUGAUGCGUGCCUCUCUACCCCUUCUGUCACUGGGUGAGGUUACCGCACGGUAUGAACCCAAAACCAAGCACUUCUCCCAUUGCAAGAAUCAUAGAUCAAGUUGGCCAAACAAAACCCACAACUCGAAGAGAAUUACAAGGAUAUCAAAUCAUGCAUAAAAGAGAUCAGAAGAAACUCAAAUAAGAUUCAUAGAUAAUCUGAUCAUAAAUCCACAAUUCAUCGGAUCUCGACAAACACACCGCAAAAGAAGAUUACAUCGAAUAGAUCUCCAUGAAGACCAUGGAGAACUUUGUAUUGAAGAUCCAAGAGAGAGAAUAAGCCAUCUAGAUACUAGCUAUGGAUCCGAAGGUCUAUGGUGA